GAGAAAUGGUUGUAUUGUGGAUGCAGACGUGGAGAAUUCCCUCGUCUCCAGGAGCUUUAUAUAAUCAACUGUCCAAAACUCACUGGGAAAUUACCAAAACAGCUUCGAUCCUUGAAGAAACUUGAAAUUGUUGGAUGUCCGCAGCUGCUUGUGCCUUCACUCAGAGUCCCUGCAAUCAGUGAAUUGACGAUGGUCGAUUGUGGUAAAUUACAGUUGAAAAGGCCAGCUAGUGGCUUCACUGCUCUUCAAUUCUCACGCGUUAAAAUUUCAAACAUCUCUCAGUGGAAGCAACUACCAGUGGGAGUGCAUAGGCUCUCAAUUACAGAAUGUGAUUCUGUGAAGACUCUAAUAGAAGAGGAACCGCUCCAGAGCAAAACUUGUCUUCUCAAAUAUUUGGAAAUCACAUAUUGUUGUUUGUCUAGAUCCUUGCGCAGAGUUGGUUUACCCACUAAUGCAUUGGAAUCACUAAAAAUCUCUCACUGUUCCAAGCUAGAGUUUCUCCUAUCUGUGUUGUUGAGAUGCCACCACCCUUUCCUAAAAAAUAUACACAUCAGAGAUAACACCUGUGAUUCUCUUUCAUUAUCCUUCUCCUUAAGCAUCUUCCCAAGAUUGCGUUGUUUUGAAAUCAGUAAGCUUCAGGGGCUUGAAUUCCUCUAUAUCUCCAUUUCAGAGGGGGAUCCCACAUCUCUUAAUUAUUUGAAUAUCUAUGAGUGCCCUGAUCUUGUAUAUAUUGAAUUGCCGGCUCUCGACUCAGCAAGGUAUGAGAUCUCCAGAUGCUUGAAGCUCAAGUUAUUGAAGCACACCCUCUUAACUUUGCGGUGUUUGAGGUUAUUUCAUUGUCCAGAAUUGUUGUUUCAGAGGGACGGCUUGCCCUCCAACCUACGUGAACUUGAAAUUUCAUCCUGCGACCAACUCACAUCUCAGGUGGACUGGGGUUUGCAAAGACUGGCCUCUCUUACAACAUUCAAUAUCAGGGGUGGAUGCCAAGAGAUUCAUUCUCUUCCCUGGGAGUGCCUACUGCCCUCCACAAUUACCACUCUCAGAAUUGAACGACUUCCAAACCUCAAGUCUCUGGACAGUAAGGGGCUUCAACAACUUACCUCUCUCUCAAACUUACACAUUGGCGACUGCCCUGAGUUCCAAUCCUUUGGAGAAGAGGGGCUUCAACAUCUCACCUCCCUCAUAACAUUAUCCAUUAGCAAUUGUUCUGAGCUCCAAUCCUUUGGAGAAGAGGGGCUUCAACAUCUCACCUCCCUCGAAACAUUAUCCAUUUGCUGCUGCCCUGAGCUCAAAUCUUUAACAGAAGCAGGUCUUCAACACCAUAGCUCACUUGAAAAAUUGCACAUCUCCGGCUGCCCGAAGCUCCAAUACCUGACGAAAGAGAGACUGCCAAACUCCCUCUCUUCUCUGGUUGUUUACAAAUGCUCUUUGCUGGAAGGUCUCUGCCAAUUUGGGAAAGGCCAAGAUUGGCAGUAUGUAGCUCACAUUCCACACAUAAUCAUCAACGAUGUGUUAUACUGAUGAAGAUGGAAAUAUAUCAAUGUCAAUCAGGUACUUGUUCCAUACUCAUUUGUUUCAAAAAUUAAGUUUAUGCUUCAAAAUUUCUUAUCAUCUCUAUUGUGCUUCCUUGCUUUCUGUAAGGUUUGGUUGAUUUGGCUAUGGUCAUAAAGGCAUGGUGCCAAGCAGCUCUCAGGGUAUUCUAAGUGACUUGCUCUUCUUGAGCCUCAAUCAUGAUUUAUGGUUAGUGAAAUAUUUUAAUUCUCUUUGAUCCUUUGUCAUGAUCUAUUAUGGAUUUGUACUUGUAGAGACUUCAUUUUCGACUUCCCGAUGGUCCAAUAGUGGAGACCUCACAAGUUUUUCUUAAUCAUGACUGCAUCAUUUUGUAGGUUCUCGUUUGGCUAAUACUUUCCAAUAGUUAAAGCAUUUGUGCAGUGAUGUAUAUCAUGCUUUAUGUCAAUUUACAAUAAAAUUGUUAUAAGGGAUCUUCCAGAUGGAAGGUGGAGUGAGGAAGAUGUCAUUGUUUUAGUGCCCCGGUUCAUUGUUCUUAUUGAACGCAGAGUACCUUAACGGUACUGCCUACUCAAAUUUUACUGAGAUUGCUCUAUUUUGGUUGGGCAGUCUGCACCUACUGGAGACAGUAUUCACUAUGGUUCUACUUGCAAGUAGGGAGAGAUCACCUGAAUGAUAGUUGAUACCACACCACCAAUUGGUCACUGUCAAAAGGCAAGGAUAUGGGAAUGCAUCUUCUUUGUUAUGUACUUAGCCGGACUUAUUUUUUUUUUUUUCUUUUCUUUUUGCCUAAUUUUGAUCUCAUACAGUUCUUGUUUGGUGUUUCUUAGGUCUUGGCUAUGAUCAGAAAUUUCCAUGUACACUAUGUACCACACCCCACUUUUCUGGACUAGGAGGUCCAUUCAGACUCUCAUUGUUCAUCUCAGUAGAGUCAGAUGUUUGUUUGAAAAGAAAAAUACCAAAGUUCAGGUGAAGGCCUAUACAUUUGAGAUUCCCAUGAAGAAUGUCGUAAUUCGAUUUAUUCGAUUUUGAGGGCUUUUGUAAUUCUGUUUGCCAUUAUGGUGUUGGUACCAUUUGAAGAGGGUGGUAGACCAUAACUCCCUCAUUCAAGCUUCCAAACUUUGUAUAGGAAAGAUGAUGUUGUGUUGACCUUACUCACUUCUUCACUUCUUCAUGAAAUGAAAAUUGACUUCUCUUCUAUAUAUGCUCACAGUCUGCUCAAGUUUUUACUUGCAUUAAAGAUCCUAGCGCUACUCGGUCACCUUAUUGAUCCCAACAUCAACCAUUAGGCCAUUUUCAAUAGGCAAGGAGAUAGGAAUAUAGCACCUUCUGUUGUUUAGGUCAAAAUAUAAUGUCUGCAGUAUGCUUGAUCAUGUUUAUAAAUUGACAUGAUAGCCCAAAAGAGUAUUUGAUAUAUCUUUUAUGAUGUAGCCUAGUAUAUUUGUACCUAUCUAAGUAGUUCGAUGUAUAUAUUAAAUAUUCAAAGGAUUUAGAACGUAUGAAGCAAAUAAUUGAAAAAAUUAAGUUAUAAGGAUAAUUAUUGGAAAGUGUCUCAAAUUCUUUUCCGAGUCAAUUUAUAAGUCAUUGAUGUUUUUGCAUUAGGACAUAUUCAUGGAAUAGACUUUCUUAUUAUUAUAAAGGUUGAAAUAUCCUAUUGUUAGAUUUUCUUUUAAGCUAUAUUUAUUUCUCUAAAAAUUUGAAGGAAAAUGUUUAGGAAAGAAAAUAGAGAUGAAAAGUAGAAAAAAAGAAAAAGUGCAGAAAAUUAAAAAUAUGAUUUAAAGUCAAUAAAUUAUUUUUAUAUAUUUUUUCAAAUUCAUUUAACUUAUUUUUUUUAUUAUAUAAAGAUUAAAUAAUUAAGAAAUGUAUAAAUUUCAAAGUAAAUUUAAUUAUGUUUUAUUUUCUUUCAUAUUUUCUAUGGUGAAAUUAAAAUGAGAAAAUCAUUUUUCUCAACAUGACCUAAUAGUUCUUCAUGGUUGAACUUACAUAAGAGAUAAUUUUUAAUAAAAAACUUUAUCACUUUCAACUAAGUAUUUGAAUACCAAAACUUCUUAUAGAAAUGGUUAAAAUUAUGCAUUAACCAACCUACAAUAGUCAUCUAAGAGAGGUGAAUAUAGUGUUAAUCUCUUUUCACACACUAUACAAAAAUGAAUACAAGAGAUAAUUUAAGCAAUAAUAUAAAAUAAAUAGAAAAGGGACAAAAAGAAUUUAAACUUAAGAUUUUUAUAGUGGUUCGGUGUAAUCCUACUUAUAUCCGACUUAUAUCCACUCUCCUCAAUUUUUAAUCACGAUAAAUGUUCCAUUAAUCUAAGACUUUUUAAAGCUCAAGUCUUUAAACUCUUUAUACUUGGAUUAUGGUUCUAAGAUACCUUGUUAUAACAAAACUUUUAAAGACAAAUUCUCCAAACUUUUUCUUUUAAAUUAUGAUUCCAAAGUACCCUUUCAAGCGAUACCUUGCUCUUAAGCUGUCUAAGUGAUUCCACACUAGUUAAUCCUCAUAAGAUCUGCAAUUGAAAGAAGAUUAAUCCUUGUGUACUAUUUUGACUCGAAUAAAUACAAAGGAAACUAGGAUUGAAGUGCAUCAUAAUGGAUAAGUAAGAUUAUGAAUCAAGGUGCACUCCAAAACACUCGGACGAUUGAUGGAUGAUAAUCAAUAUUAGGUUCUUGGAGAGUCAACAUUAUGCUUUUAAGAAGAUAUUAAUAUCUAUAUUUUUAUAGUAUGUAUUAACAUAGCAUAUUUUUUGUAUAAAAAAACAUAUAGUUUAUGAUUUUAUUGUAAUACUAGCAUUCAUAUUUUACUAAAAAAAUGAUUUAUUUUUUAAUUUAUUUGUGAUUCUAAAUACUGUUUAUAAAAAAUUCAAGUGUCAACAAAUUUUUACUAUUUCAAGUUUUAAAAUGUUUAAAAGUGAUAUUUAGAUACAUAAUAUAAAUCUAUAUUUUCCGUACAAGAGGUUCUAGCUUUUAUAUAGAAUUUAUUACUUAUUUCUAUUUUUAAAAGCAAAAAAAAUUCUUAAAGAAUAUUUUUAACUUAAGCACUAUUAAUAAAAGUGGUACGAACCAAAAUACUUUAAUUUGAAUUACUCUCAACUUCUUAAUUUAUGUAAAUUAUAAGGGGAAAAACCAAAGUACUAAAUGGAUACAUACUAUACUUCAAAUCUAAGAAGUUAACAAUAUAAUGUGUUGAAAAAGUACAUGUGCGUGUUGGAGUGCUUAUGCAAAAAAUUGUAAUUCUCAUGUUAAAAAAAAAGGAUUCAAACUUUAUGCACUUUAUAUUGUGUGUCCAUGAGGCCCAAGCCCCUGUAUCCAAAUGAAAAUUUCGGUUUUUAUUUUUUUUAUUUUUUAACUUCUAAAGCUACUUUGAGAAAAAAAAAAAUUAAAAGAUGGUAGUUACAAAACUAUUGACAAAUCGUUGACACUUUUUGUCACAUCGAAAGUGUCUUUUCAAAAGACAUUUUCUAUAAUUUUCAUAUGAAUGACACACGACAAAAAAAAUUAAUUUACAUUGAAGAUGUCUCUUCAAGAGACACUUUUCAUAAUUUUAUAAAAUUAAAUUUAUAUUUAAGAGACACCUUUUUACAAUUUUUUAAUCAGUCAUAUAUAUUAAAAAAAUUGAAUAUAUAUUAAAAGUGUAUUUUAAAGAGACAUCUUCCACAAUUUCAUAAAAUCGAAUUCAUACUAAAAAUGUCUCUUCAAGAAACACUUUUUCACAAUUUUUUUUUUUGUUUAUCAAUCAUAAAUAUUAAAAAAAAAAAUUGAAUUUUUACUCCCAUAAUUCCACAAAAUCUAAUUUAUAUUAAAGGUGUUUCUUCUAAAAUUUCAUAUUAGUCACACAGUGAAGAAAACGAAUUUAUACUAAAUGACUUUUUAGGUGACACAUUCCACAAUUUGACAAAACUGAAUUUAUAAUUAAGAUGUCUUUUGAAAAGACAUCUUCCAUGAUUUUCAUACCGGCCAAUCACACAAUAAAGAAAAUUGGAUUUAUACUAAAGGUGUUUCUUCAAGAGAUUAAAAUUUGAAAUUUUUGGAUCUGCAAAGAAAAUUUUAGGAAUGGGGAUCCAAAGGGACCAAAGAAAAGGAACUUGGUUUCUAUGCCAACAAAGUUAUAAUCAAAAGGUUUCGGAGAGGUUAAUUAAUGUCAAAUAAGUUAUAAUCAAAAGGUUUUGGAGAGGUUAAUUAAGGUGAUCAAAUUGUGAAGGCUAGUUCGCUGUCCCUAGUAGACAGCAGCAAAGACAUAUACUUAGGCUAAUCUACUUCAUGGAACAUUUUAAUUACUCCACUUCUUUUUCAUGACCUUUCAUUGACUUAGACUAGUUCAUCUCUUGCAGCCAAUGCCUAUCUCCUUAUAGUUGUCAAAAUCAACUUGUACUAGUUCAUCUCUUGCAGCCAAUGCUUUUCUCCACUUGCAUGCACAUUAAAUUAGAGACGACUUAAUUCCCAGGUCUGCUGAAGAUAAGCAACUUGCCUUCCCUCAAUUAUUAGGCCGACCUACCUUCAUCCACCACCCCCACUUUCCAUUUAUAUGCCCUUACUUUCACAUUCUUACCCCAUAAGAUUAAGAUUAAGAGCAUGUGGCCUGGUAAACAAUGGUGACGUACAGGGUCUACCAUGAAAAUUUGGAAUUCAAAGUUCCUUUUUGGCUGCAUCCAGAAGGAAAGGGAGGGAGAAUUAUGCUUUAGGAGUCUAUUUGUUGAUAAUGGGUUAAAAGUCCUUAAUUACUUGUAUAAUUGAUAAGAAUGAUGUAAAAUAUGGAGAGACCAAAAUACCCAUUAAAGUAGUCAUCUUGGUUAACAUAUAAAACGGAAAGUGAUUGUAGGAAAAAUUUGUUGUCUGUUGUACCAAAAUUAGAUUUUUGACCAUUGGAUUUACAUAUUUAAUCAUGACUAUUGAUUUGAAUUGGAAAACACUUGCUACCGGUUUCUUAUUGGAGGAUCUAAUUUUAAAGGAUACAAAUUUAGUAAUAAUUAAGUAAUGGCAUUUUAUAUUAUUAAAAUAUAUAAUUUAUAAUAAAUAAAAAUAAUGUAUUAUCUAAUUUUAUCUUCCUUUUUAUUUUUAUAUCAAUAUUAUUUAAAAAUAUAUAAUAAUAAGGGAGAAUUGUGUUUUGAGGUGAGUUGAGACUGAUAAUUAACCAAGAUCCUCAUAUCACCCAUAUAUGAACUCAAAACCUAAUGAUGGAAUAGAAAUUGAGGAGAAGGAUGUUACUUUCCAAAAAUCCUCAAAAUACCCUUGAUUGUCAAAUUAAAAAAUUAACGUGCUACUCUCACCUCUCUCUCAUUCUCUCUCACUCUCUUUCUCUCUCUUUAUUUAGCUCCCCUAUUUUUUUAAAAAUUUUAAAACUUUUUUAUUUCAUAUUUAACCAAUUUAUAAAAUAAAGAUUCUUGUUGUUAAAUAAUUUUAUUGCAAAAUUGAUCUUUUAAAAUUAAAUUUAAAUAAUUUUAUAGUGAAAUUUAUCCUUUUAAAUUAAAAUUUUUAUCCUUAUUUAUUUCAUGUAGUAAACAAAUAUUUUAAAUAAAAAAAUCUACUUCAAUUUAUUUAUGAGAAUUACAUUAAAUCAAAAUGCAUUUUUAAUUGAUGGAUAUUGAAAUUGAUUUUUCUUAAAUUUUAUUUAUUUAAUAUAAUAAAUUUAGAAUUCAAAAUAAAACCAACUUCCUUAAUUCAUAAGAAAUAAUUUUUUAUUAAAUGGUUGAUAAAAAAUUAAAAGCUAUUAUUAUAUAUUUUUAUAACCAUUGGUUUCGAUCAUCCUUUGCCUUGGAAAAUUAGUUAUUUGUUAAAAAAGAUUUUUUUAAUUAUUUAUGAAUCUAACCAACGACUCUUUUGAGAUUCUCUAGAUUUUAAGAAUUUUGAUACAUUCAACUAUUAGAAAAAGAAUUUCAAAAUUUUUAUAAAAAUAUAUUUUUUAAAUUUAGGUAAAUAAAUUAUAAAUUAAGAAAGAUAUAAUUAAUAAUUUAAAUUAUUUAAUGAUUUAAAAAGAUAUUAAUAAUAGUUUUGAAUUCAAAAAAUUGAUAUAAUUAAUUUUUAUUAAAUCAAAAUAUUUUAGAAUAUUAUAUUAGUAAUUCAUUACUAAAUGCAUAUAGCAAAUGAAAAAUUUUACUUAUUUACAUGUUAAAAAAGUUGAACUUUAUUCAUUAUUCAUUCUAAAUAAAAUAUUAUUAAAAAUUAUUAUUAUUUAUUUUUAAGCAAGACAAUUAAGAAGAUGUUAAUAUUCUUAUAUUUCUAACAUAGACUAAAAUAAUAAUUUUUUUUAUAAAAAAUAUAAUUUAUGAUUUUAUUAUAAUUUAUUUAUAAUUAUAAAACUAUUUUCAUUUUAAGAUUUGAAUUAAAUUAAAUUAAAUGUAUAUUAUAUAAAUUGAAUUUGCAAUGUUUUUACAAAACCAAAACAAAAAAUAUAUUUUUAAAAAUAACUUAUUCAAACAAGUUUUUCAUUUUUCAUUUCAAAAACUUGUCAAGCAUAGUUAUUUUAUAAAACAUUAGGGGUUUGAUUGAUAACUAUUUUUAAGAAUAGUAUUCUAUUUUCCAAAACAAAACAAAAAAAUCAAAUAUAUAUAUUUUGACUAUCAAAAAACAAUUUUUUGUUUUUAGAGAAUGUCUUUUAGUAAAAAAUAAAAAAAAAUAUAUUUUGACUAUCAAAAAACUAUUUUUUGUUUUUAGAGAAUGUCUUUUAGUCGUUUUCACUUGUUUUAUAAAAUAUGUCGCAUGAUUAAAAAUAAAGCACUAAAUAUAAAAAUGAUUUUUAAAACACAUUUAAAACGUGUCAAGUUCCUAAAAUGACUUUUGUUCUACAAAACAUUAUAGAACAAUUUGCAAAAACUGUUUUUAAAAAUUAUUUUUCAGAACUAUUUUAAAAAAUUACUAAAUAUGAUCUUAAAAACAAUGUUUUUUUCUUUAUCUUCAAAAUAAUUUUUAGAAACCAAUUUAAGACAAAAUGGUAAAACAAAUAUAUGUUUCCCAAAAAAAAAAGUUGAUGAAGUAAUUGAUAAAUGGGAAAUUUGAAAAUCUUUCAAGCAAUUUUUCUUUUUCCAUAGGAUCAAAGUAGAAACUCUUCCCUUAUCAGAACUUGGAUCACACAAGUUGAUGGAAAACGAACCUUGAACUUUAUAAAAAAAUAAUUAUUUAAACUUGAGAAAUAAAUUCAAAGACCUUUAUAAAAUAAUUACACCAUAUACAAUAUACAUUUUUCUAGUUGUAUGCCAAAUAGAUUAAACAUUCUUAAUUUCUUUUUAUUUUUUGAAAUAUUUAUGAAUUUUCCUUUUGUAUUUUUUUUUUCUUUGAUAAAAUUUAAACUAUGUUUCUAGGAGAGAAAAAAAAAAAGUUAAAGUUACAUAAAAUAUAAUUUGAGACACUUGUAAAACACUUUCAUCGGAUUAAAGGGUCUUGCUACGGUACCGAAAAGCACUUUUCAGUACCAUACCCACUUUUUUGGGCUAAUAGGAUCUCUAUACAUGGCAUGCUAAAUUAAAAAAAAAAUAAACAAAACCACUUCUUCAAGUCACCCAACCGGUUGCCAUGGGAAAUAAUCCUAUGCAACACACAUUGUUACAUUUAUUACAUUAACCAAUUAUAAAUUUGUUUAAUGUAAUUAUUUUGUUUAGGAAAUUUUUUUUAUGAAACAGAAAAAUAAAGAAAAUUUUGAAAAAAUAAAUUGCAGUUUAUUUAUUUUUGUACUAUAAAGUGAUUAAACCCCACAUAAAAAUUAAAUUUAAAAUAAAAAAAAAUUAUAAAGAAUUUGGUGAUAUAAUUUAUAAAUUAAGGAAAAGUAAAUUUAAUAUAUUUUAACAUCAAAUAAUUUGUUGACAAAAAUUUGACGAAUAUUUGAAGUGUGAAAAGAAAUAUAAUUGGUUUAUGAAGUUAAAAAAAUGGGAAAACUAAAACUAAAUUUUAUAAAAUAUAUAUUAAAUUAAAAUUAAAUUAGUUGUGUACUAAUUAUUAAUUGAGAAUAUAUGAUUAAAUUAUUUCUUAGCUUUUCAAAAAAAAUUGGUUGAAAUAUUGAAAAUACGAAAAAUGUAUAAUUACUAACAAUAUGGAAAUCCAAACCCCUCACAUAUUUUUUCGGUAAAUUUCCAUUUUGAAUUUUCCGAUCCAUUUCACACCCUCAAAAUGUACUGAAUUUUUGAGUAUUUUUGGAUUUAGAUUUUUCCGGAAAUCAUUUGACCACCUCCUAAGUGUAAUGAACUUAUUUAAACAAUAUCCAAGUCAUAUUAAGUUCGAAAAAAGUUUAAAAACUUAAAACAAGUGGAAAAUCGGGAGGCUACGAAGCACAUGAGAAUUCCUCACAUUCUUCGUACCCUUGUGAAUUUUUUAGUAUUUUUGGAUUUGGAUUUUUUCAGAUAUCAUUUGAUCACCUCCCAAGUGUAACAAACUAAUUUAAACAACAUCCAAGCCAUAUGAUGUCCCAAAAAAUUUUAAAAACUCCAAAGAAGUGGAGAAUUGGGAGGGUACGAAGAAUGUGACGAUUCCUCACAUUCUUCGUACCCUUGUGAAUUUUUUAGUAUUUUUGGAUUUGGACUUUUCCGGAUAUCAUUUGACCACCUUCUAAGUGUAACGAACCUAUUUAAACAACAUCCAAGCCAUAUGAUGUCCCAAAAAAUUUUAAAAACUCCAAAGAAGUGGAAAAUUGGGAGGGUACGAAGAAUGUGAGGAUUCCUCGCAUUCUUCGUACUCUUGUGAAUUUUUUAGUACUAUUGGAUUUCGAUUUUUCCGAAAAUCAUUUCACCACCUCCUAAGUAUAAUGAACCUAUUUAAACAACAUCCAAGCCAUAUGAUGCCCCAAAAAAUUUUAAAAACUCCAAAGAAGUGGAGAAUUGGGAGGUUACGAACAAUGUGAGGAUUCUUCACAUUCUUCGUACCUUUGUGAAUUUUUUAGUAUUUUUGGAUUUGGAUUUUUCCGAAAAUCAUUUCACCACCUCUGAAGUGUAACGAACCUAUUUACACAAUAUCCAAGCCAUAUGAUGUCCCAAAAAUUUUUAAAAACUCCAAAGAAGUGGAGAUUUUGGAGGGUAUGAAGAAUGUGNNNNNNNNNNNNNNNNNNNNNNNNNNNNNNNNNNNNNNNNNNNNNNNNNNNNNNNNNNNNNNNNNNNNNNNNNNNNNNNNNNNNNNNNNNNNNNNNNNNNNNNNNNNNNNNNNNNNNNNNNNNNNNNNNNNNNNNNNNNNNNNNNNNNNNNNNNNNNNNNNNNNNNNNNNNNNNNNNNNNNNNNNNNNNNNNNNNNNNNNNNNNNNNNNNNNNNNNNNNNNNNNNNNNNNNNNNNNNNNNNNNNNNNNNNNNNNNNNAACAAUAAAAAAAUCCAAAACCCUCAAAAAUUGGGUAGAUAAAUGUGCAUUGUGAAAUUUGAGAAUUAUUUCACACUCUAAAAAUGUAGUGAAUUUUUGAGUAUUUUUGGAUUUGGAUUUUUCCGGAAAUCAUUUGACCACCUCCUAAGUGUAAAGAACUUAUUUAAACAAUAUCCAAGCCAUAUGAAGUCCCAAAAAAUUUUAAAAACUCCAAAGAAGUGGAGAAUUGGGAGGGUACGAAGAAUGUGAGCAUUCCUCACAUUCUUCGUACCCUUGUGAAUUUUCUAGUAUUUUUGGAUUUGUAUUUUUUCGGAUAUCAUUUGACCACCUUCUAAGUGUAACGAACCUAUUUAAACAACAUCCAAGCCAUAUGAUGUCCCAAAAAAUUUUAAAAACUCCAAAGAAGUGGAGAAUUGGGAGGGUACGAAGAAUGUGAGGAUUCCUCACAUUCUUCGUACCCUUGUGAAUUUUAUAGUAUUUUUGGAUUUGGAUUUUUCUGGAUAUCAUUUGACCACCUUCUAAGUGUAAAAAACCUAUUUAAACUAUAUCCAAGCCAUAUGAUGUCCCAAAAAAUUUUUAAAAACUCCAAGAAAGUGGAGAUUUUGGAGGGUAUGAAGAAUGUGAGCAUUCCUCACAUUCUUCGUACCCUUGUGAAUUUUUUAGUAUUUUUGGAUUUUUAUUUUUUCGGAUGUCAUUUGACCACCUUCUAAGUGUAACGAACCUAUUUCAACAACAUCCAAGCCAUAUGAUGUCCCAAAAAAUUUUAAAAACUCCAAAGAAGUGGAGAAUUGGGAGGGUACGAACAAUGUGAGGAUUCUUCACAUUCUUCGUACCUUUGUGAAUUUUUUAGUAUUUUUGGCUUUGGAUUUUUCCGGAAAUCAUUUCACCACCUCCGAAGUAUAACGAACCUAUUUAAACAAUAUCCAAGCCAUAUGAUGUCCCAAAAUUUUUUAAAAACUCCAAAGAAGUGCAGAUUUUGGAGGGUACGAAGAAUGUGAGCAUUCCUCACAUUCUUCGUACCCUUGUGAAUUUUCUAGUAUUUUUGGAUUUGUAUUUUUUCGGAUAUCAUUUGACCACCUUCUAAGUGUAACGAACCUAUUUCAACAACAUCCAAGCCAUAUGAUGUCCCAAAAAAUUUUAAAAACUCCAAAGAAGUGGAGAAUUGGGAGGGUACAAAGAAUGUGAGGAUUCUUCACAUUCCUCGUACCCUUGUGAAUUUUUUAGUAUUUUUGAUUUGGAUUUUUCCGGAUAUCAUUUGACCACCUUCUAUGUGUAACGAACCUAUUUAAACAACAUCCAAACCAUAUGAUGUCCCAAAAAAAUUUCAAAACUCCAAAGAGGUGGAGAAUUGGGAGGGUACGAAGAAUGUGAAGAUUCUUCACAUUCUUCGUACCUUUGUGAAUUUUUUAGUAUUUUUGGAUUUGGAUUUUUCCGGAAAUCAUUUCACCACCUUACAAGUGUAACGAACCUAUUUAAACAAUAUCCAAGCCAUAUGAUGUCCCAAAAAAUUUUAAAAACUCCAAAGAAGUGGAGAAUUGGGAGGGUAUGAAGAAUGUGAGGAUUCCUCACAUUCUUCGUAGCCUUUUGAAAUUUUUACUAUUUUUGGAUUUGGAUUUUUCUAAAAAUCAUUUCACCACCUUACAAGUGUACCGAACCUAUUUAAACAAUAUCCAAGCCAUAUGAUGUCCCAAAAAAUUUUAAAAACUCCAAAGAAGUGGAGAAUUGGGAGGGUACUAACAAUGUGAGGAUUCAUCACAUUCUUCGUACCUUUGUGAAUUUUCUAGUAUUUUUAGAUUUGGAUUUUUUCCGGAAAUCAUUUCACCACCUCCGAAGUGUAACAAACCUAUUUAAACAAUAUCCAAGCAUUAUAAGGUCCCAAAAAAUUUUAAAAACUCAAAAGAAGUGGAGAUUUGGGACGGUACGAAAAAUGUGAGAAUUCCUCACAUUCUUCGUACCCUUGUGAAUUUUCUAGAAUUUUGGGAUUUUGAUUUUUCCGGAAAUCAUUUGACCACCUUCUAAGUGUAAGAAACCUUUUUAAACUAUAUCCAAGCCAUAUGAUGUCCCAAAAAAUUUUAAAAACUCCAAACAAGUGGAGAAUUGGGAGGGUACGAAGAAUGUGAGGAUUUCUCACAUUCUUCGUACCCUUGUGAAUUUUUUAGUAUUUUUGGAUUUGGAUUUUUCCGGAUAUCAUUUGACCACCUUCUAAGUGUAACGAACCUAUUUAAACAAUAUCCAAGCCAUAUGAUGUCCCAAAAAAUUUUAAAAACUCCAAAGAAGUGGAGAAUUGGGAGGGUACGAAGAAUGUGAGAAUUCCUCACAUUCUUCGUACCCUUGUGAAUUUUUUAGUAUUUUUGGAUUUGGAUUUUUCCGGAAAUCAUUUGACCACCUUCUAAGUGUAACGAACCUAUUUAAACAACAUCCAAGCCAUAUGAUGUCCCAAAAAAUUUUAAAAACUCCAAAGAAGUGGAGAAUUGGGAGGGUAUGAACAAUGUGAGGAUUCUUCACAUUCUUCGUACCUUUAUGAAUUUUUUAGUAUUUUUGGAUUUGGAGUUUUUCGGAAUUCAUUUCACCACCUUCCAAGUGUAACGAACUUAUUUAAACAAUAUCCAAGUCAUAUGAUGUCCCAAAAAAAUUUUAAAAAGUCCAAAGAAGUGGAGAAUUGGGACGGUACGAAGAAUGUGAGAAUUCUUCACAUUCUUUAUACCUUUGUGAAUUUUUUAGUAUUUUUUGAUUUGUAUUUUUCCGAAAAUCAUUUCACCACCUUCCAAGUGUAAAAAACCUAUUUAAACAAUAUCAAGGCCAUAUGAUGUCUCAAAAAAUUUUAAAAACUCCAAAGAAGUGGAGAAUUGGGAGGGUACGAAGAAUGUGAGGAUUCUUCACAUUCUUCGUACCUUUGUGAAUUUUUUAGUAUUUUUGGAUUUGGAUUUUUCCCGGAAUCAUGUGACCCCCCGCCAAGUGUAACGAACCNNNNNNNNNNNNNNNNNNNNNNNNNNNNNNNNNNNNNNNNNNNNNNNNNNNNNNNNNNNNNNNNNNNNNNNNNNNNNNNNNNNNNNNNNNNNNNNNNNNNUUGGGAGGGUAGAAAAAAUUGGAGAAUUCCCCCCAUUCUUUAUACCUUUGGGAAUUUUUUUUUAUUUUUGUGAUUUGUAUUUUUCCGAAAAUCAUUUCACCACCUUCCAAGUGUAAAAAACCUAUUUAAACAAUAUCAAGGCCAUAUGAUGUCUCAAAAAAUUUUAAAAACUCCAAAGAAGUGGAGAAUUGGGAGGGUACGAAGAAUGUGAAGAUUCUUCACAUUCUUCGUACCUUUGUGAAUUUUUUAGUAUUUUUGGAUUUGGAUUUUUCCGGAAAUCAUUUCACCACCUUACAAGUGUAACGAACCUAUUUAAACAAUAUCCAAGCCAUAUGAUGUCCCAAAAAAUUUUAAAAACUCCAAAGAAGUGGAGAAUUGGGAGGGUAUGAAGAAUGUGAGGAUUCCUCACAUUCUUCGUAGCCUUUUGAAAUUUUUACUAUUUUUGGAUUUGGAUUUUUCCAAAAAUCAUUUCACCACCUUACAAGUGUACCGAACCUAUUUAAACAAUAUCCAAGCCAUAUGAUGUCCCAAAAAUUUUUAAAAACUCCAAAGAAGUGGAGAAUUGGGAGGGUACUAACAAUGUGAGGAUUCAUCACAUUCUUCGUACCUUUGUGAAUUUUCUAGUAUUUUUAGAUUUGGAUUUUUUCCGGAAAUCAUUUCACCACCUCCGAAGUGUAACGAACCUAUUUAAACAAUAUCCAAGCCAUAUGAUGUCCCAGAAAAUUUUAAAAACUCUAAAGAAGUGGAGAUUUGGGACGGUACGAAGAAUGUGAGCAUUCCUCACAUUCUUCGUACCCUUGUGAAUUUUCUAGUAUUUUUGGAUUUUGAUUUUUCCGGAUAUCAUUUGACCACCUUCUAAGUGUAACAAACCUAUUUAAACUAUAUCCAAGCCAUAUGAUGUCCCAAAAAAUUUUAAAAACUCAAAAUAAGUGGAGAAUUGGGAGGGUAUGUAGAAUGUGAGGAUUCCUUGCAUUCUUCGUACUCUUGUGAAUUUUUUAGUAUUAUUGGAUUUCGAUUUUUCCAAAAAUCAUUUCACCACCUCCUAAGUGUAACAAACCUAUUUAAACAACAUCCAAGUCAUAUGAUGUCCCAAAAAAUUUUAAAAACUCCAAAGAAGUGGAGAAUUGGGAGGGUACGAACAAUGUGAGGAUUCUUCACAUUCUUCGUACCUUUGUGAAUUUUUUAGUAUUUUUGCAUUUGGAUUUUUCCGGAAAUCAUUUCACCACCUUCCAAGUGUAACAAACCUAUUUAAAAAAUAUCCAAGCCAUAUGAUGUCCCAAAAAAUUUUAAAAACUCCAAAGAAGUGGAGAUUUGGGAGGGUACGAAAAAUGUGAGCAUUCCUCACAUUCUUCGUACCCUUGUGAAUUUUCUAGUAUUUUUGGAUUUGGAUUUUUCUGGAUAUCAUUUGACCACCUUCUAAGUGUAACAAACCUAUUUAAACAACAUCCAAGCCAUAUGAUGUCCCAAAAAAUUUUAAAAACUCCAAACAAGUGGAGAAUUAGGAGGGUACGAAGAAUGUGAGGAUUCUUCACAUUCUUCGUACCUUUGUGAAUUUUUUAGUAUUUUUGGAUUUGGAUUUUUCCGGAAAUCAUUUCACCACCUCCUAAGUGUAACAAACCUAUUUAAACAAUAUCCAAGUCAUAUGAUGUCCCAAAAAAUUUUAAAAACUCCAAAGAAGUGGAGAUUUGGGAGGGUACGAACAAUGUGAGCAUUUCUCACAUUCUUCGUACCCUUGUGAAUUUUCUAGUAUUUUUGGAUUUGGAUUUUUUCGGAUAUCAUUUGACCACCUUCUAAGUGUAACGAACCUAUUUAAACAACAUCCAAGCCAUAUGAUGUCCCAAAAAAAUUUCAAAACUCCAAAGAGGUGGAGAAUUGGGAGGGUACGAAGAAUGUGAGGAUUCCUCACAUUCUUCGUACUCUUGUGAAUUUUUUAGUAUUUUUGGAUUUCGAUUUUUCCGAAAAUCAUUUCACCACCUCCUAAGUGUAACGAACCUAUUUAAACAACAUCCAAGUCAUAUGAUGCCCCAAAAAAUUUUAAAAACUCCAAAGAAGUGGAGAAUUGGGAGGGUAUGAACAAUGUGAGGAUUCUUCUCAUUCUUCGUACCUUUAUGAAUUUUUUAGUAUUUUUGGAUUUGGAGUUUUUCGGAAAUCAUUUCACCACCUUCCUAGUGUAAUGAACCUAUUUAAACAAUAUCCAAGUCAUAUGAUGUCCCAAAAAAAUUUUAAAAAGUCCAAAGAAGUGGAGAAUUGGGAGGGUACGAAGAAUGUGAGAAUUCUUCACAUUCUUUGUACCUUUGUGAAUUUUUUAGUAUUUUUGGAUUUGGAUUUUUCCGAAAAUCAUUUCACCACCUUCCAAGUGUAACGAACCUAUUUAAACAAUAUCCAAGCCAUAUGAUGUCCCAAAAAAUUUUAAAAACUCCAAAGAAGUGGAGAAUUGGGCGGGUACGAAGAAUGUGAGGAUUCCUCACAUUCUUUGUACCCUUUUGAAAUUUUUAGUAUUUUUGGAUUUGAAUUUUUCUGGAAAUCAUUUCACCACCUUCCAAGUGUACCAAACCUAUUUAAACAAUAUCCAAGCCAUAUGAUGUCCCAAAAAAUUUAAACAACUCCAAGGAAGUGGAGAAUAUGGAAGGUACGAACAAUGUGAGGAUUCCUCACAUUCUUCGUACCCUUGUGAAUUUUCUAGUAUUUUUGGAUUUGGAUUUUUCCAGAUAUCAUUUGACUACCUUCUAAGUGUAACGAACCUAUUUAAACAACAUCCAAACCAUUUGAUGUCCCUAAAAAUUUUUAAAACUCCAAAGAAGUGGAGAAUAUGGAAGGUACGAACAAUGUGAGGAUUCCUCACAUUCUACGUACCCUUGUGAAUUUUUUAGUAUUUUUGGAUUUUGAUUUUUCUGGAAAUCAUUUCACCACUUCCUAAGUGUAAUGAACCUACUUAAACAACAUUCAAUCCAUAUGAUGUCUGAAAAUUUUUUGAAUUUGUCGAGUACAAUCUAUGCAUGAAUCCAACAUUUUACCACCAUACUUCAUUAACUAAUAAGCGGUCGACCGGUACAGUGCUACCGGUUUCCUAUAGUCUCAUCCGAUAGCCACUGCCAAUUCUUAUGUUGAAGCACCAAAAGGGGAAGUGUGUACCGGUUGUAAUAAUAAUUUCAACCACUUCAUAUGGUGGUCGAUCGAUACACGAAUAUCUUUCACAUGUCAUUUAUGUUAUUGAAUUGGUCAUUCAUACACUCAAAUUGUAUUACCCAAUAAUGACAUAGAUUGGCCAAUUAUUCGUAGGGAAUGAAGCUGCGAGUUUUGAAUAUAAGAGGAAACAAAAUUAAAGAAAAGAAACAUUUUUCUUACCACCAAUGCGUUGGCUUUUCAUAUGUCCUAGCAUAACCUUAUUCAUCAGUCAUGAGAUGAUAUCACCCCACCUCAUAAUGUAUAACACACUAUUACUUUCACCCUUGUGCAUUACUUAGCCUAGCGGAUAUAGGGCAUGUGGAAAAAAUAAUGACACAUAGGGGUGACGACGAGACCAAAGAUUAAGCGGGUUUUUCGAACUUUAUAGGGCAAUAUAUUUUAUCAUUACAAAUAAAAAAUCACCAAAAAAAAAAAAUUAUUACAAAGCACCUUUCAAAUAUAUUAGUGUGACUACAAACAUGUAUGAUGAAGCAUCGAUUGGUCUGAACCAUUGUGUUUCAAGCAAUUUAAUACUCAUCUUGUGAUCUCAUCUUCUCAUAAGAAUUAGCACAACUAUAAUAUGCAAUAUGAAUGUUUUCAUUAAAAUAUUUUUGUGUACAUAUUCUCUUGCAUCGAUUUAACAUACAUAUUCCUUUUUUACAAAGAUACAUAAAUUUUUUUUUCCAUUUUAAUUAUCAUCCCAAACUAUUUUUAAAUUUAGUAUAAAUAUGCAAAAAAAAAUGUAUUUUACACAAAAUAUAAAUACAUGUUGAAUCAUAUAGACCCAAUUUGCUCAAGUCUAAUACAAAGAACCCAAACUCAAUCCAACCCUGGAAAUUUGAACAUCAUUAUUUUCUAAGAUUAAUUUUAUUCACCUCACUUAAAUUUAAUAUAAAUAUAAUUAAUUACUAUUAAUUUAAUAUUUUAUCAAAUAUUUCCUCUUCCUUUUAUCAUUUAUUAAUUUCAUUCCGCUCUCAUUUUAUUCAAAGUAAGUGAAAUUUCUCAUCUUGUCAUGUUAGUCUCCUAAAUAGAGUAAAUAUCAUGGAAUGCCAUGAAAGGGACAUGAUAUUCCAUAUAUACCAAGAAUUAUAUCAAUGAAUUUUUAAAUAAUUAUUUUGCACCCAAUCAAUGGAGGCCGCAUGGCUCAUUUGAUAUGUCCAAGUGUGUUUUAAACUUACGAGAAAUAAAAUCGAAAUUCUACGGAGCUUGACUACUUAUUCAUCAUAAUGUACAAGGAUGUCGUAAUUACUAAAUACAUAAAUGUUUGUGCAUUACAAGAUCAAAAUUUGAAGACUUGAAGUUGGAUUAAGAGGUUUUAAAUACUUAUAAUCAUUGCAACUCAUUUAUUUAGUUUGUAUGGAUAACCUAUGAGGAUUGAAACCUAAAUUGUAUAGACCUUGACUUCUUAUUCAUCACAAUGUACGAGGAUGUCAUGAUUACUCAAUAGAUGAUUGUUCGAGCAUUACAAGAUCACAAUUUGAAGACUUGAAGUUGGAUUAAGAGGUUUCUAAUGCUUAUAAUAUUUAGUUUGUGUAAAUGUAUUUUAAAUAUGGAUGAGUAAACAUUCAGCUAUACUCAUCCCUAUACAUACAUUUUCAAUUAUAAAAUUCAUAUCACUUACACCAAACAAAUUAUUCCCUAUGCAUAUACUACCUGAUAGAGUUGACCACCAUGUUAGUCGAGUGUCAUUGCAUUGACCAUCGUCUUUAACAUUAUUCCCAUUGGAUUAUCCCUACCUUGUGUGCUACUGUUUUUGAACUUCCGUGUUAGGAGGACACAAAUUCAACCUUAAGGCCUUCAAUUCGACCUUUAUUAUUAACGCACCUUCUCAUAAAAUAUAUAACCGCUUGCACGCAACUAAAGGUUGGUUUAUAUGGAUGUUCGUUUACCACAAUGAUGUCCCUUCAAAAAAAGAGCAAUUACAUGUAGCAAAAUACCAAAUAGCCUAUCAAUACACGAAUCUAUGGAGGAAUCCAAACAAAUUACAACUUAUACAAGGAAAUGUUAACUGGUCGACCGGUUAAUAUACUUCAUUUUGUUUUCAUUUAGGUAUGUGAUAUGGCGAUUAGAUAAAGACAAAUGACUUCUCUUUGUUACUAUUCCCAACAUAGAUCAAGACAUAGGCUUACCCACAGACAAGCUCACAUCAAACACCAAACGGAUCUUGUGAUCCUUAAAAAACCCAACCUUAUCAUGUAUAGAUCUCAAAAGAGUUGCAUAAUCACAAACCAAGCCCUUAACAACCAAGGUCUCCACGUUAACUUUUGCUUAUGCCUCGCACCCUAAUAUGACUUUUCAGAAUUUAAUAACAUUCCCCAUGUUCCCUUCAGCUUAGGACAUUACUUUUAACUGUACAUGACUGUCAUUUUCUGAAUUACGGUAAGCAUAUCUUGUUUUGCUUUGUUUUCUUUUCCUUUCACCUAGGCACACCAGGACAUGAAACGACAUUGUUUCUUGUGUGACUUGUUGGGUUCCAAGGGAAGGCAAUUUUGUCCUUGCCAUGUACUAAGUGUGGCUUUCCAUGGUAUUCAGAAGCUGUUGAUAUAGGUGCAUAGUGCAUCAAAAGGUGCAUAGUGCAUCAAAUAGUGCAUAGAGCAGCCAAUAUAGGGUUACUGACAUCAAGAUAACAUUAUGUAUAUUCUGCCAUGGAGAAUCAAGGUACAGAGGGAUUACAAACUGUUCGUAGAAGUAUACUCCUUGGAGAUAUAUCAGAAAGAAGGGAAAUGAAAUGCAUUUGAUGCAAUUUUUAGUUAAAUAACACAUUUCAACAUGGACAUAAAGAACAUGAAUAAAAUAAUAAAUGACCGUUCGCAUAGAUCAUAAUAAUUGCAUUGGAAGUAACUAAUGAAUUAUAUAACCUUAUGCUACCACCAUAUGCAUCAGUUUUUGUACCUUUGUUGGUUUUUGUUGGUUUCUUUCAAUCCCACAAAGUCGUUCCAAAAUUGACUUGUUUAAAAAAUGUUGAACUUAUGUUGAAUCCUCAUUUAAGGGGUUAUUGAGACUUGAUCUUUUUUCUUCAAUAGGCCAUCAAGUAUUUUUUGGAUAAUCGGAAUUAGGAGGUGCAAUUUAGGCAAGUUGUCAUGACUUAAGCCAACCUUAAUUUGGAUAAGGUUCGACAAUUAUUUAUAAUUUUUGGGUACAAUUUUUUUUUUUCCAAACUUAAUUCAGGUGAAAUACAAAUAAAAAUUCGAACAACCCAAACCUAAUCUAAAUCCAAUUUAAUAUUUUUAUAAUAUUUAUAGUUUAAAUUAUUUCAUUUAAUAAAUUUAUUUUAUUUAAUUUUGUAGAUGUUACAAUAAUAAUAUCAAAGUAUAAUUUUUUCCCAUUUUUUACAAAGAUAAUACCGUUGAACAAGCGGUUGACCGGUUGAGGGACCGGUCGACCGGUUCGUCAGGCCUGAGAAUUUAAAAUGUCCCCCGCGCGCUUCAUUUCUCCCAUUUUCGCCUCCAGAGCUUGCCGCCCCUUCAUAUCCUUGCUUCCCGAAGAGUUUUUGGCCAGAUUUCGGACCGUUUGCAGGCUGAGGACUUGAUUUUGGGACGGAUUUGGGCUAGGGUUUUGGUUUGAAACCCAGGGUUUCACCUCUUCAAGGUGUCUCCUCUCUUCACCAUGCAUGUCAGGGUUGUUCAGUUUCAUCUCCAAGCGUCUAGGGUUUCGGGUUUGUGGUUGCAUCUUCCUCUCUGCUUUCAUUCCCUGUUUGGACUCCUUCUUCACCUCUUUCACUUCAUUGAUGGCACCACGGAGAGAGACGAGCACUUCCAGGGCUCAGAGCAAGCGCCCUGUUGAGUCAUCUCAGCCCGAGCAGACGGAGGCUCGUCGAAAGGCAAGGUUUGACACGGAACUCUUCAGUUCGAAUGAGGACUAUCAGUGCUACAAGCAAAAAUUUGCUCAGAGGAAAGUCAUCCCAGGGAGAAGUCUCAAUUUCUCCCAACUUCAGCACUUUGGCUUUGAGGGGUUGUUCGGACGGAUGGGAUGGCUGCCCGUAGUGACGAUCUCUGAGCCCGUCUUCCCGACUCUAGUGCGGGCUUUCUAUUCUCGGGCGACCUACGGGAUUGGAGGACCCGUAUUAUCCACUGUGAGAGGCGUUGAGAUCCGUUUGAGUCCCGAGAACAUUUGUCGCAUUCUCGACAUCCCUUCGGUUGGACUCCGUGUUUAUGAGGCCAAGGCGUGGCCCACUGUGUUGGGAUUUGAGCCUAGAGAGGCUAUUCAGAGGUUGUGCGGACUUGUCGAUCCUCAGGGGAUGGGCAAACCAUCGGCUCACAGCUUGACAGUGACUAGCCGAGUCCUUCACCAUAUGAUUUGUUCGAUUCUCUUGCCACGUGGAGGACAUCGAGACGAGGUCUCCUACCUCGAGGCUUUCAUUGUUGACUCGAUCCUCACUAGGAGAUGGAUUCAUGUUGGCUACCUUAUGAUGAUGCACAUGAUCUCCUGUGUUGAGAGCUCGACACGUGUACUCCCCUACGACCGCUUCCUUACCCGUGCUUUCAAGGAUGAUGGGGUCGACUUAAGUAGAGAGACAGAUUUUGAGGCCCUCACCACUUAUGACACGUAUGAUGAGCAGUCUUUGGGGCGCAUGAAGUUCGAGAAGGCACCCAAUGGCUCCUGGGUUAGGAAAGCCGAGCGACAGGCUCGGGGACAUGAUCAGAUAUACCUUGGAGUAGAGGAGGAGGCCAAGAUUAGAGAAAUGGAGGAUGGGUUGGACCCUCAGAGUGACUUUGAGCAAAGAGGGCCCGAGGUUGACAUUCUCCCUCCACAUCAAUCAAAGGGCAUUCAUUUUGAGGCUACCUUCUCCGAGCCUAUGAUGACUAAGUCGUCCUUCAUAGCAGGCCCUUCAUCUCAGCCAUCAUUUACCGAGCUACCAUCUCAGGCUCCUCAUGUUCCUGAUUAUCCACCUUGGAUGGAUUUGUUAGCACAGAUCAGCUCUCUCGGGACCCGUCUGGAGGAGUUAGUCGUAGUGCAUGAUACUCGCUUUUCUUCCAUGGAGGAUCACAUCGAUCAGUAUCAGGCCGACUUCACAUCUCAGUUUGAGCAUCUCGUACAGAGGAUUGAGCGUCUUGAGAGCCGCCAGGAGAGUCAGCACGAGGAGAUGAUGGCUUACCUAAGUUCUGUGUUUCCACCACCACCUCCUCAACCUUGAGUGUGUUUGGGAUCCCCCUUCAUUUCUUUUUUAUGUUGCCAAAGGGGGAGAUAUUUAUAGGAUCUAGGAUCUAUAGGAUCUAGGAGUCUCUCAUGCAUGUCAUUGUUAUCAUUGUCAUAUCUAUCUUAUUGUACAUGUGAGAUUUCCAUAUAUAUAUGAUAUGAUAUUUUUAUCAAUUGAUUCUUCGUGUUUUACAUUGUUUAUCAUUUGAUUGAUCCAUGAUUGGUUUGAGGGGGAGAUUUCUUUCUCUCCUAGAUAACCAAGGUUUGUCAUCAUCAAAAAGUGGGAGAUUGUUAGCCCAAGGGUUCUCCUAAUCGGGUUUUGAUGAUAACAAACCAUGGUUAAGUAACUAAUUGGUUUAAUGUUUAAGAAUGUCAAGUAUUAACUCCAAAAUUCAUCAGAGGACCAAAUGGAUACAAGAUCGAGAUGCUUGGAAGACUUGAGAUCAUAGGAAAUGAAUGUAAGAUGAUAGCAUGAGUGCACUUAGGAUGUUCAUACCUUUUCAUGCAUCUUAGAAAACUCGGUUUAUUCUUUAAAACUUGAUUUUCUUUAAAACCCGAGUUUUAUCAAAUAUACCUUAGGCAAAUUGAUUCAAAAUUGGCAUAUUAACUCACCUAAAGACCUUGCCUAAGUGUUAGAAAAGAAAGGAAUCAAAAAAUAGGUUUUUUGGGGCCAAAAAGGCUCAACUAGUCGAGGCUACGCCCAACCGGUCAACCAGUUAAUGAACCGGUCGACCGUUUGAGGUCGUCCGGUUGAGUCCCGAUCGAGGAAGGUUAAAAACAUUCUCUCUCUCCCAGUGGCCUUCUCUUCCCGACCGAGGUGAUUCCUUUGCAGGUCGAGAUCCGGUCGAGGACCGGUCGAGGUUCGGUUGGGGCAACAGUAACCUGUCAUGCAUUAAAUGCUCCAACGGCUAGUGAACCGGUCGACCCCUAGCUCAACCGAACGAGGUUGCAUUUUGCUGGUUUUGACUCCCGAGCUUAGAAACAUAUAAAUUGAGAGCUCCUCUUCAUUUAUGACUAAGAGAACAAUUGCAUUCAAAGCCUACCUACCUGUUCUUGAUCAAAAAGCUCUCAUUUCUUUCUUAGUGCAUCAAACCAUCACUUGCAUAUUCUUAGUGUACUCUUGUAAUUCAUCCUAGCUUUCUCUUAUACUUGAGCCAUCCUUAAUCUAGGUUGAGAGUUUCAUCUUUGUGUAAACUGAGUGUGAAAGCCUUCAAUUGGUUCAAAUCUUGAAGAGAUUGUGUAAGAGCUCAUUGGAGCUGGAAUCCAAGUGUAAGAAGAUUGCAACAACAUUAUUUCUUGUCUGACUUGUUGGGUUCCAAGGGAAGGCAAUUUUGUCCUUGCCAUGUAGUAAGUGUUGACCUGACUGAUUCACAAUCAUUUGUUUGCCAUGGCCAAAUUGAAAAAUACCAAAGAAAUUUUACACAUCAAUCAAAUUGCGAUGGUUCUCUGGCACAUAAAUAAAAGGGGGGCAAUAAGAGAUACGUAAAGCAUGCACAUUGUUUUCUAAUUUUUUUUUAAGAAAAAUAUAAAUAAAGAAUGAAGUUGAUGACCAUAGUUGCUACAAAUGCCUGUUAGGAAAUUUGGUAUUCUGAGGAGUGUUCGGUUUCACUGUGACCAAUCAGGAAAGAGUUCAGUUCUAGUAAAUUUUUUGAAACUUUUCACCUGUAAUGGUAUUUGCGAUGGUGUAGUCAAGGCGGUGGCGCUGAUAGAUCGAAGUAACAGUGAUCAUGGAAUUAAGGCCUGAAUUUACAUUAAACGUUGUUCAAUCUUAAAGAUCGAUUUGAGUUCAUAGAACCUACAGGCAUUUACUUGGCUACCAGCAUAUCCCAAAUUGGGCUUCAGAAGUUAAUGAAUUUAUAGUAAUUCAAUGAGCCAUUUAUACAUUAGUAAUGCACAACAUGAAAAGUGAGGACUAAUCACAUCAUCAGGAUGAGACUCAAUUCUUGGUUGUGAUUUGACAAAUAUCAAUAUACUCAAUUUCUUGAUCAGUGAUAGACUUCAAUUGUGAGUCUAGGUGUAGAGCAGCUUCUUGUUAUUUCUUUAAUGAUUCCCUCAAUGCCUUGGGCACAACUUCCAUUGAAAAGGAUAGAGAAAACAAGGAAAAAAUAAAAACAUCCCUCCGUCUCACUGUCAUACAAUAUGUAAACUCUUCACCUUUUGGAGUAGAUUAGCAUUCUCCACUGAAAGGACCAAAACUAUCCAUCCUACCAUGUAAGAUAGUUUCUAGGUAUGGUUGGUUUGCUUGGGGACUUUAAUGAAUCACCUUAGUUUAUGUUACUAAUAUCUUCUCACUGUAGAUAAAGGAGAAAAAUCCAUCUCCUUUCUUCGCUCUUUCUAUACAUAAAUUAUGUAAGCUGUCCACCCACACAAGGGACCAAGACUAUUCCUGUGUUUAAGUCAACUUCAAAGAGGGGAAGGAGAAAAGGGAUGAUGGAGGACAUGAUCUUACCAUUUUGCUGGUAUGCACUCUUGAAAAGUAUAUUACACUGUUUAUUGUGCUGGUACUUCUAGAUUAUUUCCACAUAUUGGAGAUUGAGGAAUCUUGAAAGUAUAGACAUCACAAAAAUUUUGCUUUCCUGGUAAAAUUUUGGAAGGAAUUGAGGUGGAUCCUAUGCUUAGUGCGGGCAUUAAUUCUUUUUUUUUUUUAAUUAGGGCAAAUGUCCUAUGAGCCCUUCCUUGCAAUUGCACAUGUUCUUGCAUAGUGCUUUCUCUGUCUGGUCUGUUUAUGCAUAGUGCUUUCGUGCAUAAUGGGUUCUAUAAAAUCUCUGAGGGAUCCAGUGUCUGGGUAAUUCAUUAUCCAAAAGGCAAUCGAAGGUGGCACCAAUGAGAUGUCUGGAGAAGGAUAACAUGAGGUAAGAUAACUGAAAUAGAACUCAAUGAGUCGAUCAUUCAGAAAGCGUGGACCACUAAGGAUGUCCAAAUCUGAUCGCCUAAGUACAACAUCAUUGUAGCUGAGAAUCAUAUCAUCCGCCCAGGAUUUUCCCAUGUUGCAAAUGUCAACAACUAUUCCUGGAUCUUAUCAAAAGAAUAAAACAAAUAUUCCUGCAAAAUCAAAUUUCAAACCAAAUUACAUCACUUUCACCUUGGACAGAGUUCUGGAUUCUGAAAAGUAAUAUAAAGAACUUGGAUUAUUCAUUUGAGUGUAGAACUUCAUAUGGCAUCCAAGCUGUCAAAUAUAUCAUUAAAACAUCUCAGUUUUAUUCAAAUUUUUAGGGGGGAAAAAUGAUGACCUUAAUGUUUACACAAUGCAUCAUUUCAAUAAUUAAAGAUAGUUAAACUAGCAAGGAUUUAUCAAUAAUGUUAGAAAAUACAAGGAUAUUUGUUUCCUGCAUCUUGAACACAUUUCAUGGUGCCUCUCAUCAUUACUCAGUGACUUCAAAUUAGUGCCAAUGCUUGGUAUAAUUUAAUCUUGUAACAUAUUAUGGUCAAAUUUGUUCAACUCCUGAUCAAAUUUGCACCACCAGCAAAAGAGAAUGCAUGUGUUGGUCUAUAUAAUCCUUGGAACUUUUUGGUGGGGGUUCAUCUUCAUCAGCAAUUUCUUUAAUGUUGCAUUCCUGCACAGUUUAUCCAACAGAUUUGGAGACAAAUCCACUAGCAAUGCAUCUUCCAUUAUUUUUAAAAAAUGAGCCUUAAUGUAGAUUUGGUUCACACACGACCGUAACCAUUCAUCUUCAUUAAAGUUUCUAAAACCCCAUGCAACCGUCAAAACUAAAAUAUAUAUAUUAUAUAUCCACAAGAUGGCACAUACAAUAUGGACUUGUCAUGUCAUAGCAUUUCAAUAGAACCAAAUGAGGGAAGCACAGAUUCACCAUUUUUCACAUCCUAUAAAGAAAACCUAAACUGGAGAAAAAUGAAAACUCAGCCAAGAAAGACUAAGCUUAACCAUAGUCCCUGGCUAGCUGGCUGGCUGGCUUAGGGUCAAUUUCCAAAACCUCUCACAUAAUGGCCAAGCAUCACCACCUUGAUUAAGUUGAUGUGGUGUCAAGGCCUCAUGUGAUGCCAACUUACACCCAUGACUACCUAUCACAUGCAGGUUGACAUGCCAUAUUCAAAAUAAGAUGGCAAGUAGGGAUGCCUAUGAUGCUAAGCAGCUUGUCAAUGCAAGGGGUGUCAGGUAGUGGCUCAAUUGUGACAUAAGGGUGGUAACACAUGGGUAUGCACACACAAGGCACCAUGUAGGUGGCUCGACUCAACUAGAAUUUAAGUGUAGAAUUUUACUGGGUUGAGAUUUUUCCCUUGAAGGGACUGCCCUGAGGAGUUUCGAAGUUCAGGAAUACGUGUUCAAAUUUUUCUUUUUUAAUUAAAAAAAAAUUGUUAUGUUUAGUCAUAAAUGAAGUGGAGCUCUCAAUUUAUAGGUUUCUAAGCUCGGGAGUCAAAAACAGCAAAAGGCAACCUCGUCCAGUCGAUGUAGGGGUAGACCGGUUCACUAGCCGUUGGAGCAUUUAAUGCAUGACAGGUUACCGUUGCCUCGACCAGACCUCGACCGUACAUCGACCGGGAAGUGUGUGAACCUCAACUGGGAAGAGAAGGCUAAUGGAUGGGAGAGAGUGUUUUUGACACUCCUCGAUCGGUUCUCGACCGGACAGGGUCAACCGAUCGACCGGUUUCAUACCCUAUUGAGCCGGCUGGCCAUAGCCUCGACCAGUUGAGCUUUUUGGCCCCGAAAACCUUCCUUUUGAAAUUUCUUUCUUUUCUACUACUUAGGCAAGGUCUUUAGGUGAAUUAAUAUGCCACUUUUGAGUCAAUUUACCUAAGGUAUAUUUGAUAAAACUCGGGUUUUAAAGAAAAUCAAGUUUUAAAGAAUAAACCGAGUUUUCUAAGAUGCAUGAAAAAGUUUGAACAUCCUAAGUGCACUCAUGCUAUCAUCUUACAUUCAUUUCCUUUGAUCUCAAGUCUUCCAAGCAUCUCGAUCAUGUAUUCAUUUGGUCAUUUGAUGAAUUUUCGAGUUUAUAGCUGAAAUUCUUAAACAUUUAAAACAAUUAGUCACUUAACCAUGGUUUGUUAUCAUCAAAACCCGAUUAGGGGAACCCUUGGGCUAACAAUCUCCCCCUUUUUUAUGAUGACAAACCUUGGUUAUCUAGGAGAGAAGAAAUCCCCCCCUCAAUCCAAACAUGGAUCAAUUAAAGCGAAAAUUUUAAAUGACAAUGUGAAUUCUGAAAAUAUCAUAUCAUAUAUAAUAAUAUCGCAUAUACACAACACAAGACUAAUGAUAUGGAAAUGUCAUACAUGUGUGUGCCCCCUAGAUCCUAAAAUUUCUCCCCAUUUGGCAACAUCAUAAAGAAACGAAGGGGGGAGGGGGGGGGGGUCUCGAAGAUAUCAAGGCGGAGGUGGAGGAAACACUGAGCGAAGGUAGGUCAUCAUCUCCUCAUGCUACUGAUCCAUACGCUCCUCAAGAAGCCCAAGUCUCUGAUCGAGAUGCUCAAACUGAGAGGUGAAGCCGGUCUGAUACUCAUCUAUGCGAUCCUCCAUAGAGUGGAAACGAGUAUCAUUGACGACUGCAAGCUCCUCCAUACAAGUCCCAAGAGAACUGAUCUGAGCGGAUAAAUCCAUCCAAGGCGCAUGAUCAGGUGCGUGAGGUGCUUGAAAUGGUAUCUCUGCGUGAGAAGGCUCAGUGAAGAAUGACUCAGAUGGUCCAGUUGUGUAUGCCGGCUCAGAUAUCAUCGGCUCAAGAAAGAAUGCCUCAAACUGAACACUUUCCGUCUGAAGUGGAGGAGGAAUGUCACACUCAGGCAUGCUCUGCUCAAAGUCCCUCUGAGGGUCUAGCCCACUCUCCAUCUCUCGAAUCUCGGCCUCCUCCUCAUCUCCAGGAUGCAUCUGUCCCUGCCCCUGGUCCUGUGCCGGUGGUCGCUCAGCUCUCUCGAUCCAAGAGCCAUCAGGGGCCUUCUCAAACUUCAUCCGCCUCAGAGACUGCUCGUCACAUGUGUCAUACGUGGUUGGGGCCUCGAAAUUUGUCUCGCGGCUCAAAUCAACCCCGGCAUCCUUGAAUACUCUCGUGAGGAAGCGACCAUAGGGGAGCAUGCGGGUCUGAAUAGCCUCUCUGGGCUCAAAUCCCGGCACCGUGGGCCACACCUUGGACUCAUACACCUUGAGUCCAACUGAUGGUAUAUCGAAAAUCCGGCAAAUGCUUUCCGGACUCAAGGUGAUCUCAACUCCUCUGAUAGUGGAAGUGAUCGGUCCUCCAACCCCGUAGGUCACCCGUGAGUAGAAAGUGCGAAUCAGAGUCAGGAAGAUAGGCUCCGAAAUAGUCACCACUAGCAGCCAUCUCAUCUGUCCAAAUAUCUCCUCAAAUCCAAAGUACUUAAGCUGAGAAAAAUUGAUGCUUCUCCCUAGAACAACUUUCCUCUGGGCGAAUUUUUGUUUAUAUCUCUGGUAGUCUUUGACAGAGUCGAAAAGAGCGGUGUCGUACCUCGCCUUUCGGCGAGCCUCCGACUGAUCUGGCUGAGAUGGAUCAGCAGGGCGCUUGCCCUGAGCCCUGGAAGCGGCUGACUCUCUCCUAAGCGCCAUCCGAAAGGCUGAGAUGAAGGAGACGAGGCUGAAGAGAGGGAUGCACACACACCUGAAAGCCCUCAAGCGCGGGAAGACACUGACGCAGGCCCUGAUGCGCGAACUGAGGAGGAACUUGCCCAAAUGCGAAGCCCUGGGUCCCAAAAUCCAAAACCCUAACCUCCAAAAUCCAAUCUGUACCUCUCAGAAGGCUAUAAUGGCGUCAAAAAUCCCUUGAGGGCAGCUGGAACGGCACAAGGGUUGAAGAACCAGAAGAAAUGGGUGAGAAACUGGGGCGCGGGAGGCUCUUUAAAUUCUCAGCCCCGACAAACCGGUCGACCGGUUACUAAACCGGUUGACCGCAUGGUCAACGCGGUCAACGUGGGCAACGCUUCGAUUUUUGUCCAUUUCCUUGCCUAGUGAUCCUCCCCCUGCCCUUUUCAAUUGAAAUCCCCAAUUGUUGUCUUCACUCUCUUAUAGUUUCUUUGUCAAACUGAUUUCAUAAGUCAUUAAUGACCCUAAGAGUUCUCUUCCAUAGGUAGCUUGGUCAAAUCUUUAGCUUCUUGAAUAGCGGUGACCUUUGUAUGCCACUUUGAGGGGAGAGACCUCAAUAUCUUCAUCACCUUUUCGGAUUCAUUUAUGACCUUUCACAAUGCUUAAAGGCCAUUGACAAUUUCAGUGAACCUAGUGAUCAUCUCAACAAUAGAUUCAGUUUCUUUCAUGGCACCAGCUAACCUAUCGUUCUGUUACAUGUAUGUUUGACCUUCAAUAUUCUAGCAAUGGCAACUUUGGUUAGAGACCAGCUAGCCUUGCAUCAAGCAGGCAUCCUUAAUCUUGUAAUUGAUUUAGGGCCUACUGUGACUGCUGUGGACCCUCACAUGCAUCCAAUCUUCCAUAUAAGACCCAUGAAGCCACAUUGUAAGGGAUAGGGUCCUGGGGUUUUGAUCUAGAAUGCAAUUCUAGAUCAUAUGUACGGUUUGCCACUCAUAAAAUUCACAUGUGCAAAUAAACAUAACAAGAAUUCCAAUAAAUAAAUACACACAUGGAUGAAUGCAACAAAUUACCUGGAAACAUGUUCAAGCAAUGCAUGGGCAAAUUGCAAUUUGAAGAAAGUGCAAUUAACUUCUACUUAACCAUGAAAAGAAUGAACAAUUGAUCAAAGUAAGAAAUUCUUCAUAUGAUAAAACAAAAAAAAGAUCCUAUCCAUAAUACCCUUUUGAUCAAUAGAGAAAGAGACCUUUUUUGGUUGAAAACACUUCUUAACAAACAAUGCGGUCCCUGCAUAUUUGGAGUUAACCACAUAAAUGUCUUUUGGCCAUUCAACUUCAAAGUUGUAUCAUCAUUUAGGUCUUUAGCAAUCAUGUUGUUUAUUACAAGUUAAAAUUACUUGUUUUUCUUUACAUAAAAUUGUAUAUAGUCAAUUCUAGAGAAUGGUUGAAACGGAAAGACAAAACAUGUUGGUGGUGUAUGAUUAAGCAAAAAGUAUGGCUUAAAGAGUAGAACAAAAAACCAAGAUUCAUGUAGCCAACCCCAAUACUUGGGAUUAAAUCUUCAUGCUGUUGAAUUAUAUUCAAUUUGGAGAUCCAUCAGAGAGUUUUUUUUCUUUUCUUCAUCAAAAUAGUGCAGAUCAAUUCUAGUUUAAGUGAUAUAAAACAUAAUGGUGCCAUAAAAAACGCCUCAAGCAUAUCUUGAUAAUUGGAGCAUCUUCUUGAAUACUCAUAAAAAUUAUCACAUCAAAUCCUCGAAACUUGGUAAUUCUUCAAGACACCAACAAUUAAAAUGCUAAGCAAGGUCAUCAUAACAAUUGAGAACACCAUCCACACUCCCCAUGCCCCAACAAAUAAAUAAAUAUAAAAGAAAAAAGAAAAAAAUUGCACUUCCCUGAUUAAAAUACUUAGGCAGAAAAUGUUAUGGAGCCAACUAUUUUCCUUUCAAAGGAAUGAUUCCAUUAUCAAUGUGACCAUUCUGAAUUUUGAGUUGAAACAUAGACCUAAGUCCUCUUGAAUCGCCAUUGGGGCUUGAACUUGGAACCUCCCACAAACCCUCCCCAACCCUUUACCACUUGAACAAGGCCUCAAGGGCAUUAGGUCCUCUUGAACCUUGAAACAAGUUCUAAAAUUUUGGGUCAGCUAUACAUUAUCCUUUUGACAAUUUUUUAAUCCCAUCUAGAAUCAUCUUCUGUCACACCAAAUGGCCAUGCACUAACUUGAAAAUUUUGUAGACAAAUGUUCUUGAGGAUUUAAGACUUCUACUAAGGAUUUAAUUUUCAUUGUCAACCCAAUAUAACCCUCCUCAUUUCUCCUAGGCUGAGACCAGCUUUACAAAAAAUGAGGUUCUAGACAUGACACUUGUGGGAAUGGAAGUGAUGGGAAACGUUUAACUACUAUACCUAGUGCUGGACAUAACAAUAGGCAAGUAUGUAGUAUAUAAUGCACAUGACAAGUGCUGGACAUCACAAAGCUACACCAUAAAUCUUUCAUAAUGGGCAAUGCCUUCUCCCAGAUAUCCCAAUUCUGAAACACAAAUUGUAAUCUUCAGAUUAAUCAUAUAAUUAGGCAUAUUUGAGUAAACCAUAUAUUGAUGUAUUUUGUCACCAAUUCUACUUUCUUCUCUUUUACCAUUCUACAUUAAGCUAUAACCACUUAUCAAGAAACAUAUUUAGAAAUGUAUGAGAAAAAUUCACAACUUCCUCAUGCUGCUAUAGACACCAAUCAUCAUAAACAUGAAAAAUUGCUUAGCUGAGCAGCCUAACCAAUUGAUGAUGAAGCAAUUUCAUCUGAUAAAAUUUAGCUUUACAUCAAAAUCCAUUAUAAGUCCAAUACGCAUAAGCCCAAAACACACUUUGAACCAUUGCAAAACCAUCUCUGAUGUAUAACUUUAGCUAGGACCUGCUUCACCAUGGUCAGUUGCUUGCCAAAACUUAAAAUUCAAUUAGAUUCCGCUGAAGAAACCAUAGCUCAAUUAUAGGUUGUAUUUCCUAAUCCUUCUUUUUGGAAAUUAUUGUUGCACAGAGAAAUUUGGGACCAAAAUUUCAUGACUUAGAUUCCGAGAAAUUUGACUUUGGUAUUUUUCUGGAUUUCACUCUUCAAGCUAAAGACUAGAUAUGUCAAAGCACCAAACACAAACAACAAGCUAUAAAAUUGAUUAUUUUUUAUAAGUAUUUCCCACAUAUAAAUUUUUCAUAAUUGCAAUAUCAAAGAAAACUUGCAACUCAAAGCACUCACAGAGUGUUAAAUGUAGAUAACUAAAAUUGUACAAUAACAGAUAGAAAAAUCAGGAGAGCAAAAAAUAAAACCCUUGAGAUUGCAAGAACAGUAGAAAAUGGAAUAACAUAAUGCUUAACUAGAAGAGAUUAAUCAACUUGAGCCUUGUGUGCUUCAGCUUUUUAUUGCCUUAAUCUCUUUGUAGCUGUUAAAACAGCAUUACAGUGUGUUUGGUUACAACAAAAACACAUCUAGGUACAAGGGUUUUAGGCUUGAAAGCUCUUUUCAGCAAAGUUUAGGGAGGAGAAAGAAAAAAUUUCAUUAUUACAAGUAUUUUUUGGAUAUUAAGUAUACAACUACUGUUCACAAUGAUGUUUUCCAAAAGGACUUUAGUAAGAAGUUACAACAGCAUCAAAUAUAUGCUUAGAAAACCCGAUCACCAAGAACACUGAUGAAAACAAAAGGAAAACGGAAAAUCAUGGAUCAAAAUCGAUCUCAUGCAUUUGACUGGAAUAAAAGCCCAAAGAAUCUUCAACACCUCACAUACCAAAUUUCUACUACAGAGCCAAAACCUCCACAAAUUUGUCCACAACACCUAUGAGGCCCAUGAGCCCAAUAGAGGCAGCACCAACAAGAGGAGGUGAAUCUGAAGUCUCUUUUAAGGAACUUCCAUUACCUAAAUUCACAAGUUACACAAAUUAAUUUGAGAUGAUCUAAUUGUGCCAAAAAUCUAUUUAAAAUAGUAAAUCAAGAAUGGUUUUAAUAAGGAAAAAGAGGGCCAAAACUUAGUACGAUAAUUUAUGCAAGCAGGCAAGCAUAUCUCACCCAAUAAUAUUAAUGAGGAACUGGUCGAUCGGUUAUAUUCAACCGGUUGACCUGUGCACUCGACCGGUAGACACUGGUCAUUUCUUGAUGCACCACCCAAAAUGGCCAAUGGCUACCAGUUGCAAAACAACUUAUGAUCGGUUGAUGUCGUUUCUCGUCCGAUUGAAGCUGCCAAUUUUUUUUUGCAAAAGCAAAAUGGGAAGUUGCUACCGGUAGCAAAACAAACUGCUACCGGUUGAUGCAAUGCAUCAACCGGUUGAAACUGCCCAAGUUUUAUGAAAAAAAACUUAAAGUCGCCUAACCAUAUUCGUAGACAUUAUAGUUGAUUAGACCAAUGGAGGAGAAUACAUACAUUUUAUGAGGAACCAAUACUCAAUAUAACCUUCCUAACGCGUGAUUCUGCUAUGCUUUUGAUGGAAAUAGUCAUAACCUUCCUUUUGCCAUCCGAAACCAGGGAUUACAGACUCAAUAUUUAAAACACAAAAAUAUUCAUGGCACCCAAAUGGGAACCUCAAUUAUGUGAUGUCCACCAACAAUUUUAAAUCUACAGAAGAAGGUUUAAAGAGAUGAAAAUAACCUAUAUAUCAAGAGCUAUAAACAAAAUAAGCUAGAUAUAAUAUAUACAUGUAAAAGAAAAUACAUCAUCCAUAUACCAUCAUCAGCAUUGAGCGAAUACAUUUAUGCCAUUUAUGUCAAUGGCCGAUCACUACAUCCAUAAGUAAUACGAGAAGUCAUAAUUACAAAAGGUCAUUUAUAUUAGCCAAAUGUCCAAAAACAGAAUGAAAGUUUAAUAACUACAAAACUAGUACAAAAUGUAGAAGGGGUCAUAUAUGGUCUGGUCCAUGAAGCGGGAAGUGGGAUCACAAGAAUACCAUCAUCUCAUCAUGCUGGCCUCGUAUAACUUGCAUACUCUCUUUGACUUCCUCGUGUAAACCAUCAAUGCGAUUCUCCAGAGAUGUCAAACGUCGGUCAUUGGCUAAUACAAUCUCCUCCAAGCGGGUACCAAGGGAGCUAAUCUAGGCAUUGAGGUUGUCUGAUGCCUCAGAGUCGUCCGAUCCAAUUAGUGAAGGAUGAUUUGUUAACGCCCUAGCUCUUACACCACCUGUUGACGGUAUUCAUGUGACAUUUGCUUUUUCAGAAGUUCUUCCCUCUACAUCCUGAUCUUCAUAUUCUUCAUCCUCGGAGGACCCAUUGUCUGAAGACACAUCAACCUCUGAGAGGGGAACGGAAGACUUCCUUGCCCAUGAACCAUCUUUCUUCCGAACAAAAUGCAUGCGCCGAAGUGAAGCCUGAUCAUAUGUAUCAAAUGAUUUGAGUUUUUUCCCGUCUGUCUCAUUGCGCAAAUUGACAUUGAAGUAUUUGACAAUCUUUGUGAUAAACAUGCCAUAGGGGAGAACUGAAUCUUCGCUGAUUGAACAUGCUUUCAUAUGUUGGAAAAUUAUGUAACCAAUAUUAACCUUUCUUUCUGUGAGAAUGCUAUCAACCAAAAAAGCGUCCAAGAAAGAUACAUCAUCUCGGUGCCCUCCUUUAGGGAUGAAAAUGUACGAUAUCAUGUGAUGUAGGAUACGACUCAACACAGUCAACAAAUCAGAAGUUGGUCUACUAGAUCUCGAGUAACCACAUAGCCUUUGUAUAGCUUCUGCAGGUUUGAAACCUUCCACCCUUGGCCAUUUCUUAGCUUCAUACAAACAAACCCCUUCAUUUGGAAUCUCUAAAAUCUGACAAAGUUCAGCAACAUUAAAAACGAUCUGUACACCGUUAAUCAUGGUAGUAAUGGGUCCUUCAUCUUCGAAUGUCAUAUUGGAGUAGAAACAUUUGACAACCUUGGGAUAAAGGAACUCUUUCACAGAGACAAUAGGAAGCCAACCCAUUCUCACGAAAAGCACAUCGAAAUGGAAAUAACUGAGCUUUGCAAAAUCAAUGUUCCUACCCGGGAUUACGGUCCGAUUCGCAAAGUGAAGAUGAAAUCGUUGGGCUAGUUGUGGGGUUGUGAACGAAGAUGGAUCAAAGGUGGCCUUUUUUUCGAAUCUCAAAGCUUUCUUCAACGACCGAUCGUUUCCCUUUGAAACUGGGGUGUAGUGCUUCCUCGGUUUGUUUCUGUUUGCUGCCGCUGCUCCGUUGUGGGUUGGAUCUCUUGCCUUUGGUAUCAGCCAUAUGUGCUUCCUCUCUUGUCUUCCCUUUGCUGCCAGUGGAGGUGGGUUCGGUUGGAGCUCGUUUUGGAGCCAUGGCCGCUUGGUUUGGGGUAGGGGUAUUUCGUGAAGAUGGACUAGAAGGAAGUAGAACACGGAGGGGUUCAGGGAUGGAAGAUCGGUUGGCACAUGGGUAUUUCAUGAAGAUGAAGAAGAAUGGUUGAGAGACGGUCGACCUUCCUAUUUAGUGUAAUGAAAUUGUAGUUUAUGGUUUUGAUAGGAAAUGAACCUGUAGCUUAUCAAUUCCUACAUUUUAAAUAAGUUCUCAUUUUAGAUAUAUUAAAAUUUAAUUUGCAACCAUAUUGAUUUUAAAGUUUCCAAAUCGAAAUAAUUUAAUAUAUAAUUGAUUGUAUUGAAAAAUGUUUGGAUAUACCUUAAUUAAAGUACAAGAGGUUUUUUUAUAACAAAUUUAUAUUAAGGAGAAUAUAAUAUGAGACCUUAUUUGUAGUAAUAAAGAAUAAUUAACUAACCUUUCUCAUAACUAGGAUAUAGUAUGAUGAUUUUAUUAAAAUAUAGUUAGGUUAAUACAUUAAAAUGUAGAAUAACAACCAUAUACUACGAUAGCAAUUCAAUUAUUUAUGGUUCUAAGACAAACAUUUUAAAUAACUACGAUAUAGCAUGAUAAGUUAAAUAAAUUAAUGGAACUGAAUUUAUUAAAAAUUUGUCAUAAGUAUGAUAUCGUAACAUAACUCAUUUAAGUAACUAAGUGUAAUUAAGUAACGUAUCUCAUAAUUAGGAUAUAGUAUGAGGAUUUUAUUCAAAUAUAGUCUAGUUAAUAUAGUCAAAUUUAGCAUAACAACCAUAUAAUACGAUAUGGGCAUUUAAAUUAAUUUAUCGUUGUAUGACAAACAUUUCGAAUAAGUACGAUAUAGCAUGGUAAGUUAAUUAAAUUAAUGUAACUGAAUUUAUUAAAAUUUGUCAUAAGUAUGAUAUCGUAACGAACCUCAAUUAAGUAAUUAAGUUUAAUUAACUAACCUUUCUCAUAUAUAAGAUAUAGUAUGAUUCCUUAAUUACAUAUACAGCACGUGAAUUGAUGAAACUCUAUACUAAGUAUGAAAUGGUAUGAAAACAUAAAGACAAUAAAUUAAUGAAAGAACAUUAAGAUAUGUAAAUAUUAUCAAUCAAAGCCAAAUCUCCACUUUAUAUUUUGUUAAGUUAAACAUAUAUCAAUUGAAAUGGGUGUAAUAAUCCACAUUAGGCUGACUUUCCCUCUUGCCUAUAAAUGUUGUAUUUAAUGUCACCUAAAAAAUGAUGCAAAAAAGGCAACCUUCAACCACCAAAUGUACCAUUAUGGUGGUUGGUUUUGCUACACCUGGCAACAUAUUAAAAUAUGCAAUAACUUCAUGCAACAACCACAUAUAAAUGUUAGUAUAUAUUUGGGGGGCAACAUACUCUAAGGAGUCUAGAGAGUGAAUGUGGUCUUCUAUAAAGUAGAGCAUAGCUUACAAAAAACACAUCCGGAAGACAAUUCUUCAGGUUCUGCUGCAACUCACUUGCACAUUCCAUUUUGAAGGUAUGAUCAUGAACUUCAUAAAGAUUUGCUAUACAAAAGCCAUAAAAUUUUGUAUAAAACUGAAUUGCCUCUACUUUCGAAGUGAUGGGCAAAUUAUUUCCAAACCCUAAUAACAGGUAAUGUAAUAAUAUGUAAUGAUUUUAAAAAGUGUGGAUUGUGAUUGUCUAACUUACUUUGUUACUAUUUUGCAUGAAAUGACUUCUUAAAUGGUGAAUUCAUGGGGAAAUACACACGUGUGCAGUGUAUACCGGUAGAAGAAUUUCUCAACCGGUUGAAUUAUUUCUCAACCGGUUUGAAGGUUUCCUCAGCCGGUAGACACUGGAAAGUGGGAAAUUUUUUAAAAUAGACACCAAUAGGUCGACCCAAUUGAAACCGAUUGAAUUGCUUAUGCCAACUUCCAUUAACAAACUUGAGAAUGGAUGACGUAUCUGAUUUUGGUUUAUCUUCAAUCUAAUUUACUAGUUCAUACUCAUUUGAAUUUUUUUAAUGCAUUUAUAUAUAGAUUAAAUAAUUUUAAAAUACGUAAGUUUGUAUUUAAUUUUAAGCCAUAUAUUGUUAGCUUUAAUAUAUUUCAUAAAACAACUAAAUAUUCCAAAAUAAUGUCUUUUCUUAGUACUUUUUAGGAACCAUACAUAACCUAAUAUAUUUAAAAACAACAAUUUUUUUUUAUUUUCUAGAUACUUGCUGGGACAAACCUAGCCUAAUGUAUUUUAAAAGUACGACAAAGAAGGGAAAACAGAACAUCAAAUCCCGUAGACCUCAUUAUUUGAUCAUUUCAAUUAUGUUGAAGAAUUGUACUUAAGCAAAACAAAAAUUUAAAUGUACUACAAAAGAGAAUUAAGGAAAUGUGAAACUUGUUUUCAUAAAUAUAAUAUAACAGUGAGGAAUAUGAGAUUUGUUGGUUUAUGGAGCGUUAGGACCACUUGUUUGGUUUCUUGUAUAUUCCAAUGGUUGGACCACUUCCUCCUUGAAUGUUCCAAAUUGUUUGAUCCCCACAAUAAUUAAUAUGUUUGUUUUUUAUUUAGAGGAUAUAUUUAAGAAAAUAAAGUAUUGUGAAAAAUAUUAGAAUAUUUUUCUACAUUUUUAAAAUAUACUAUAUGACUUGAUUAUAGUAAUUAUGGUAUGCAUUGUACAUAUUGUUAAUAAUAUCAACUUCAUUUUAUACAUAUAGAGAGAAAUUGAAUGUGUAACAAAGAAUCAUAUUUAACUAAUAAUGAAUUUGUAGUAUAUAAAAAUAAAAUAUUUAGAAUCCAUUAAUUUAUAAAUUUUCAUUUCCAUAACCUAUUUAUUAUAUUUACCCUAUUUUCUCGGAAGCCUUUUAUUUUUUGAAGAGAUUGGGUAAAACAAACACAUAAGAAAUAUGCCUCGGUAACAAAAUUUUCAGGUGAGAUUAAAUAAAAUAAUGGAUAUGUUAUAGCUUUUGAUUAAUGUUGAUUCUUGGGCCUGGGCUUAUAUGUGGCAUAUUGUCAAAUGAAAACAUUGAAAAGGUAAAUGCGUUAAACCCAUAUUUUUAAAUAUCCUAUGUGGACUUUAUCGUAAAUAAUAUAUCAAUCAAUAUGACAGUGAUAUGAUAAUUUGUUAAGGUAUUAUGGAGACACUUUUUGACAUAAUUUAUGAAAUGUAGGUGAUGCAAUUGGUAAUGGAGGAAACAAUCAAGCAGGAGUUUGAAGUGAAAACGGAGGACGUUGUCAAUGAUGAUGCAUAUACAGGUGGAACUUACAAGCUAGGUGGAAACAGUUGGGAAGAGAAAGUGUUGAAAGGUAUUUCAGUUGAAGAAGUAUGCAAAAUGCAAUUCGCUUGCAUAGACGAGGCUGAAACAUUUUACAACAUGUUAGCAAAACUAACCGGCUUUAGUAUUCGAAAAGAUGAUUUGAAGCGAGACAAGAAUGGAGAUAUAAUAUCUCAAAAGUGGGUGUGUUCCAAAGAAGGACAUCGAGCGACAAAGUUUUUUGACAAUGACAACCGAUAGCGUGAGCCACGAUCGUUGACUAGAGUUGGAUGUGAAGCUGCAUUUCAUAUAGGCUUGAAUAGAAAAUAUGGAAAGUGGAUUGUAAAGGAAUUUAUAGAAGAACAUAAUCAUAAUUUGGUCGAUCCUAUUAGCAGACAAUUCCUUCGCUCUCAUCGAACAGUAAGUAAUCCAAAUAAGGCACAAGUUGAUGUUUUACGUCAAGUAGGUGUUAAAACCACACAAAUUAUAGACUAUAUGGUCAAACAAUCAAGGGGACAUGAGCACAUCGGUUUCACACAAAAAGAUAUAUACAAUCACGUUGAUGCAAUGCGUAGAAGUGAAAUUAAAGACGGUGAUGCAGAAGCGGCAUUGGCUUAUUUGUGUGGAAAGGCAGAAAUGGACUCUUCAUUUUUUUAUAAAUUCAACAUUGAUGAAGAAAGUCAACUAGCAAAUUUGUUUUGGGCUGAUUCAACUGCUCGAAUGGAUUAUGCAUGUUUUGGAAAUGUCCUAGCAUUUGACACAACCUAUAGGACAAAUGCCUAUAAAAAAGCCUCUAGUAGUGUUGGUCGGUGUUAAUCAUCACCACCAAAUUUUUGUAUUUGGUUGUGUGUUAUUGAUAGAUGAAAGUGUUGGGACAUAUGAAUGGGUGUUGGAGACAUUUCUUGAUGCAAUGAUGAAUAAGAAGCCCGUAUAUGUUGUAACCGAUGGGGAUAAAGCUAUGCGUAAGGCAAUUAAAAAAGUAUUACCCGAUACAUGUCAUCGAUUGUGUUCAUGGCAUUUGCAACGAAAUGCAUUCACGAAUGUGCAUAUUAAGGACUUCUCAAGCAUCUUUGCAAGGUGCAUGUUCAUGCAUGGGAAUGAAGAAGAAUUUGAAAAGGUUUGACAUGAAAUGGUUGCAAAUUUGGGACUUAAUGAGAAUCGUUGGGUGACCGAGAUAUAUGGGAAACGUAAAAGAUGGGCAGAGGCGUAUUUACGUGGAAAUUUCUUUGGAGUGAUGAGAACCACACAAAGGUGUGAGAGUAUGAAUGCAUCUCUAAAUAGAUUCUUAAAAAUUCGCUUGCGACUGUAUGAGUUUGUACAACAAUUUGAUAAAGUCAUACUGAGAAUACGGCAAAACGAGGCAAAGGCAGAGUUCGAGUCAAACAAUUUUUCACCUGUGCUUUCAACCAAACUAUCCAUACUUGAAAAUCAUGCUGCGACGGUAUACACGAAAGAAUCUUUCCUUAAAUUUCGUGAGGAGAUGAAAAAUGCAGAGUUAUUCUUUGUGGUAGGUCUUUUAAGUGAUCAUUCAAUGCGGGCAUACACAUUAUCUAAGUUUAGACACCCGAACUUAAAUUGGGAAGUACAAUUUUGCCCGGAUAUUGUAACAUUAAAAUGGUCAUGCAUGAUGUUUGAGUCAAUUGGCAUCCCAUGUUGCCACAUGGUGGUUGUUAUGAAGAUGGAGCAUUUGGAAGAGAUUCCUCAGUCAUGUAUUAUGAAGAGGUGGAAAAAGUUAGCAAAGGUGUAUACAAGAUCAGUACCAAUGAAUGAGACGGAUAACGACAUGGAUCGGUUUGUACGAUAUGGAUCAUUGAGUUCGAUGUGCAACAAGCUCUCCUACUUUGCGUCAGAUACGUCAUCUUCAUUUAUAGAGGCCAAAAAUGAAAUACAAAAUUUGACGGCGAGAAUGGAGGAACUCUAUAACUAUAAUUUGAAAGGGAAGAAAAUAGCAGCAGAUGGAGCGACAGGCACUAACCAAGUUCGUGAUCCAAAUAUUGUGAAGACUAAAGAGAAUCCAGGCAAAGUGGCAAUGAAUGUUCAAAAGGGAAGACGAUGCAGUCGUUGUAAAAGAGUGGGUCACACAAUUCGAAAGUGUCCAGAAGCUACAAUCCCUCAAAAUGCUCAACCGGGUUAUAUGGUAUGUCAUAUUCAAUAAAAAAUUGCCCCUAAGAUUAAUUUUUGUAGUUGUACUUACAUAAAUAACUAACAUAAUUGUUUUGAUGGCAUUAUGAGUACGUAGGAGGAAACUAAUUUGUCUUCCCAAUGUGACAUUCAAAUGGAAAUGAUGCCUUCAACAAAUUCAUCAGUUGACAUUUUUGCAACCGUACAUGUAUGUACAAUUGGCUUGUUAUAUAAUUUCCAAACAUUGAUAACAUCUAAUUCAAUAAUAAUUGACAACACUUAAUUAUUGAAAAAUGCAGGGAAUGUUAGGGAAGCAUUUGUCGAAUGACCGAUCUGACAUGUACAUAGAUUGUGGUGAACUUAAUAAUGUAAGAUCGGGAAUAAAGAAACACUUUUGACAUGAAUUUGAGCUAUGCAUUAUUUAAUGAUUAGGUUUAAUUAAUUGGAAUGGAAUUGGACAGCUGAAAAAAACAAUGGAAUGUGCAUGUGCAGAUAGCAGGAUUUCAGCAACAUGAACAAAAUAUGACAACACCAUGUCAAGGUGGGGAUCCAAACAAAUAUCCAAAUGAAAAGGAUAUGCAACCUUUUUUUUAUUCCUUAACGGAGUAAGGGAUGGUAGGUAUUAAAUUAGUAUUUAUAUUAGUUGACGUUAUCACUUCCACUAAUGUGUACUUUUAACUCAACUAUUUAAUGAAAAGUUUGAAUUUUGAUCAAGAGUCAAGUUGAUUGAUAGAAUGCAAUAUCCUCUACAUUUAUAAUUUAAUUGAUAACAAGUGAUAAAAUGAUUGGUAAAUGGAGAAACUGAUUCAUUUAUAUCAUGUCGAAAAAAACGGUUAAUUAUGCAGAUUUAAUGAAAUUCAAUUGUGGUUAAAGUUUGACAAUUAGGUGGUUAUGAGUUAACUAUAGGAAAGUAAUCAAUAUGAUGUAAUUCAUAUGAAAUAGGUAAAGUUAGUGAUUUUACUCAAAAUGGGUAAAUCGUAGUUAGGUAAUUUGUAAUGGCAGUUUCCAUCAAUUUCAAACCUUUUAAUUGAACUUAAUGGUACAUUGUCGAAUGUUUAUGUAGUGAAAAGUUAUUGGUACAACUCAUACCCUUUUUGUGGACGGUAGGUGUACUCCUAAAUUGCACAAUAGCAUUGCAGAAGGCAACCGGCUGAGAUUUGGCCUCAACCAAUUGAGAAAAUUUCUCAACCGGUUGAUAAAAUUCCUCAACCGGUUGAGACCAUUCCUCAACCGGUUGAUACCAUUCCUCAACCGGUUGCCAUUGGUUAAAAAAACCAUCAACCGAUUGAGAAAAUUCCUCAACCGGUUGUUACAAUUCCUCAACGGGUAGCCACUGGUGAAAAAUACCCUCAACCGGUUGAUAAAAUUCCUCAGCCGGUUGCCACUGGUUACAAAAAACGUCAAUCGGUUGAGAAAAUUCCUCAACCGGUUGAUACAAGCGGUCGACCGGUUGCUCCUGGUUAAAAAUACCCUCAAUCGGUUGAGCAAAUUUCUCAACCGGUUGAUACCAUUCUUCAACCGGUUCCCACUGGUCAAAUCAUUCGUCAACCGGUUGAGACAAUUUCUUCAUUGAUCAACUGCUUUCCACAACUCAAAAAAUUGCUCACUCGCUUUAGAAAAUUCUUCAAUCACUCAAUUGAACGCCGACACCGGGUGAUUCUGCGUCCAAAAUUGUUUGAGCUGGUUGGGACAAAUCCUCAACGAGUUCACACUGCAUCCAUAGGGUCAUUAUCCAUAUGAGGCAUUCUCAACCGGUUGGCAUAAUGCGUAUGCCUAUGAAAAGUGGACUUAGCUAAAUCGUUGGACUGGUUCUUACCGGCUCAACGUCAUUCGUCAACCGGUCUACUAAUGUACUAACUAUAUAUUUUUAGCAUAGAUAAAUGAAUAUUUACAAAUCUGAAUAUUUACAUGUUGAACAUGAAUGAUACCAAUAUAUUACAAUUUCAUUUUGACUACCAUAUUGAAAGAAAAGUAUUUGGAUAUUCAAAUAAAAUGGACUUAAUCAUUAAUGAUGUAUGGUCAUCGAAUCUCACAACUUCCCAAUAAACAUGACGAUAUGUGGAGAUGGAAAUGAUAAAUAUUAGAAAAAGAACAAAUAUCAUAAUAAUAAUUUUUUCAUUGCUCGUGUUGACGUCUUUGUACAAACAAUAGCCACAAUGGUUUGUUUUUCUCUAUUUCCCUUGUGUAAAACUAAAUCACAUGCUAUUUCUCGAUGUAUUUUAAUAGAAUUACAAAAGUCGGAGAUCGUCAUCAAAUCACCAUUUUUGAAUCUCUGCAUAUGUCUAAUGACAUGCACUCCACAGUCCCGCCUAAGAAAGAGAAAAGAAAAGCAAAACAACUUAUUGAAUGGUUGUCUAAUUAUACCUCAGAAAAAGAAUAGUAAUGUGAGUUAUGUAUUCAUACUAACCCAUUCUCUUGGGUCGGAAUCGAAGGAGCCCAAUCAAUGGAGAAUUGGAAGACAUCUUUCCCUAUGUCAUACAGUUUGAAGAACGUUUGACAAAAUUCAACCUAAUUUAUUAUGAAAGUGUUAAUAAAUAUGGAAGAAAAAAAAAUAGAAUAGAAGAAAAAUAUAAACAUGAAAGCAUACCACUGUUUUGACACUCUGAAACCGGAACUUGUCUCGAUUCUUCAAUCGUAAUGAAUCCAAAAUUUGGAUAUGAGAGUUUUUGAAGUCAAUGACGCACAGAUACCAAUGACUAGGGCAUUCGUCAUGCAUUGGAAUAAAUAGUUGUAAAGUUAGAAAAACAAUAUAUAUGAGUUGGGGCACAAAAAAUCUACUAUAUUAUAGGUGAAAACAAUAUCUAUUCUAAAUUUCAUAUAUGCAAUUAAACAUUAAAAAUAAUUACUAACCUUCUCGCAAUCAUCCAAUUCGCUAAUGUACUUACUCACGAUGGAUGUUUUUCUAUCGAAAAAAGGAUGAGGACUCCUGCACAAAAUCAUUUGCUAAUAAGAAAACAUAAUACGAACAUUAGUAUAUUGUACUUAAUAUGUAAGUAAACAACAAGAGAAAUAUGAGCUUACUGAAAAUGUCGUGGGAAGAUAGCAUCUUAUACUUCGUAUGCCUAUGAAUUGUCUUUCAAAAUAAUUUAGCUUUGAGGCUUCUAGAUUUAUUACAUGUUGUUGAACAAUAACUUCAAUAAAUUUAUUUAACUAAUAUAGCAUGCAUUUGAUAUAAAUGAAGUAGGUACUUACAACAUCCAUCAAAUUUUGUCUAGGACGUAAGCACUCAAAAUCUCCACGAACUCCAUGUUCAUGACCAAAGUCAACAAGACGCUCACUAAAAUAAUAAUAUGUUCAAACAAACUUGAGUAAAUUGGAAGCAUAUGAAGGCUAAAAUUGUAACAACACAUCUAUGAAUGUUCUAGACAUGACAAACCUUUUUGACAAUGCUUUAUUGAAAACAUAAUCAGCGACAAGAGAUUGAAGUACAUUGAAUGAUUGAGUAUCCACCACGUCUUCACGAAUGGACAUGGGGAUUGACUAAUUCGAAAACAAGACAUAAUUAUUAACUAUAUAUGUUAAGUAUUAAAAUAAGAACAAUGAUAUUAAACUAUUUGUAUUAUACCUCUGAUGCUUCACGUUUUACCAUCUUCCUUAAAUUGUGUACAAACGAGGAGACCUUGAAUUUACUUGGUUUCCUCUCCCUUGAUGUACGUGUUUUCAUGACAUGAUUAGGAUAACCACAUAGUGCUCGUAAUGGUUCCUAAUAUGGAAAAUGCCAUUAAUAUACAUCUAUUUACAAUGUAAUGGUUAAGUAGUUGUAAAGAAAAUAAUUUUUUCUUUUAUAUGAUACAUACCUUUCCAUAAUCUCUUCUACUCCUUUUGAUUGGAAGUGGUAAAAUAUUUUGAUUUUCGUCUGGAAUGAUAUGCACUUCAAUUGAUGUAGCACAUGCAUCUUCAUUCUUUUCAUUCAAGUCCUCGGUGCAUAACUUCUCAUUUGACAAAGUGUGAAGAUAAUGUUCAUUCACAUUCAUAUUGUUCGUAUCUUCCAAACUUCUCUCGCAUGAGAGCAUGUCAUUCUUCGUUCCUUCCUCGUGCAUUCUCAAAGGUUUUCCGCUUGACCUAAGGAAGAGACCUUUCACUGUAGUAUAAUUCUCCUCAAAUUUAACCAAAAUUUGAUCACAACUACUACUACUUGCACCAUAAGCCAUAUCAAUUAGAUUUGUCUUUAAUUGUUGAAAGGUUUUAUCCAUCUCCAUUAAGUUCCCACCAUCAACCUAGUGAUAUAUACGAACGUGAUUAAUAACAUCAUAAUACAAAGGUUCAAUGCUAAUAUAGAUAGUCACGAUGAAUAUUGUAAAACACUUACUCAUUUAAUAACAUCUUUGUUUAGAUUGAUUACAAAUUUCUCAUCGUCCUCAUUCUCACUCGCCAUUGUCGUUGCAUUUCCAUCAACGCAAUCCCUUAUCUCAUUUUCUAUCACCCAUAUUUUGAGCUACAAUAUAUUCAUCAAAAUAUAAUACAUAUUAGAUUUUAAAGCACUAAAAACUUAAAUCAAUAGUAAACGACUUUCAAAACUAUAACUUACAUUCUCAUUUGCAUAUCCACCAAGUUUUUUCAAUCUUCGUUUCCUGUCCAAUACUUUAUCAUCUCCCCAAGCAGUAAUCCGAGGAGAAGGUCGAGUAUAUAGUGGUAGAAAUUUCUCUUCAAACGAUAUAUGCUCGUGGUAGAAUAACUACGAGUAAAUUUGAUAUAGAUAUAUAGUUAGUUCAUAAAUUAUAUUAAAACAAAAUCGUAUUUCACUAUGAUGUAAAUUAAUUACAAGGACAUGACCAUUAAAAACAAUAAGCAACCGCAAACCCCACUUUGUUGUUUCUUCUUAAACUCUUCAAUCCCGUGCACAAGAUAGGACAACACAAAUUCUGCCCAAUUCAUCUUCUUUAUUGAAUCGAUGUCUUCCAUAAGAUGUAAGAAAGAACGAUUCACAAAAAGCUUCAUUGUUGGGCACAAUAAUGCACCCAACACAAAUAAUACAAAACAAACUUUAAAAUCGUUUCCACCCUCUUUAUCCUCCCUAAUUUGAUUUUCUAACAUCACUAAUGGCAAUCGCCCUUUUUUAUCACAAUAUUUUUUACAUAAAUCGUUCUUAUGGCCAACAUCUUUGUUCAUGCCAAUCUUGAACCCUCUUGCCCUCAAUCCCAUAAUAAAUUCAACAUUAAUGGGGAAUAAUUUGAUACAAGUAUUGUACAACUGUAACAUAUAAGUGUUCGGAUUAAAACUAUUUAUCAACCAAAGACAUAACCCAUGAUCAAUUUUCCUACAUCGAAGUUGCAAGAGGCUACCAAAUCCUAUUUCUUCUAUGGCUGCCUUUUGCUUUGGUUCUAAUUUUUCAAUCACUCUAAUCACUCGCUCGGGGAAGCAUCGAUUCUGAAGAUAUAACUGAAAAGAUACACAAACAUCAAACAUGUUUACAUUAAUAUAAUUUCCAACAAAUACAUAAGUAAAGAAAUUAAAUAUUCAUUACAAAAAAAAAUUACCUUUGGAACCACACCCUUUUGAAGUGAAUAUUGUUUUGAACUUUCUUUGGACUUUGCAUUGAAAUUUUCUUUUUCUACUUUUGAAAGUGCAUUCCACUUCUUGCCCAAUUUUUUCCUCAACUACAUUAAUUGGUCACAUAAUUUAAAUUCUAAUUUUAAAAUGUAAUUAUAUUAGACAUAGCAAUAUUACUCCUUACAUCAUCAUUUAUCUUCACUCCUUUAUCCUUCUCUUUCAUCAUGGCUAAUUGAUCGUUACUACAAAACAAUUUCAAACAAAUUUAACAAUAACAACCACAAAAAUUACAUUAAAAAACAUAUUAUUUUACAUAUUUCUAUUUUCCCUUACUAGUAAUGUAUCCAAGCGCCGAUAGGCCUCUUUGGAUUUCUAACAACUUCAAGACCAUCGCGUUCGCUCCUAAAAAUUAAAUCAAAUCAUUUAAGUCAAUUUUUAUAAUAUGAUUUCGGAUAUAAUAAAUCAAACAUACUUUCACCACCACAUUAUCUCAACAUAAGUUUUUUUUUCACAUUUCAAUAAAUUUUAUAUUUAUAUCUUACUACAAUCAAUCAAAUGCCAAUUAAAUACAAAUACCAUUACAACUACAACAUCCUCCCUAAAUAUCUUUACAUUUAAAAUGAUGACAAAAUUAACAUAUAAAUUUUUUUCAAUGUUCAAUAAUGGAUCUAACCACACUCUUUUUCUAUAAUGUAAUCAAUCCAUAAAUCUAACGAAAAACAUGAAAUAUAAUGGAUACAAUAUUGUAAAACACAUAAUUACUACUCACAUUUUUUUCCCUUUAUAUAGAACUCGCCAAAUAAUUAGGAUACAAGCGCCUUUUGAGUAACUAACAAUUGUGUCCUUCUCAGCUUUCUUUUCCUUAGUACUACACGUCCUCUUCUUCUUCUUCCAACUACGUCUUCAAUUCGGGUUUUUAAACCAUUAAAUUUAGAACUUGAAAACACCCCCUUACACUUCUUAAACAAAAUAUAAAAUAUGAAGAAAAUACAAGGGUUAUGAAGAUUCCACUAAAAUUCUCCGUGUGAAAGAACCGAAAUUCUCCGUGUGACAAAAUGCAGGGGUAGGGAGGAGAGAAAGCAAAAAUUCAGAAAAUCUACAUAAAAUCUUCGAGAAGAAGAAUCUAGCAGAAAAAAUAGCUGACCUGGACAUCGGGAGAAAUGAAGUCUAAGACUCGGAUCUUGGCACCGACCUCGCCCACAAUCCUGAGCUCGCGGUCCUUGAGGGAGACUUCUUUGAUGAGGUCAAGACGUCGGCUUGGAGGAGGUUGGCCCGGUUCACGGCGAUGGUGGUCUCCACUUAGCUAUGGAGACGUCUUUGAUAAGGUCUACGACGUCGGCCUCAAAGAGGUUGGCCCGGUUGAAGCCGACCGUGGUCUUCACCCAGCUGUGGAGAAUCAGUGGAGAGAAAAACGGGAAAAGGGAGAGAAAACAAAGAUGAGAGAGGGAAAUGGGUGAGCUAUGGAGGAAGUCGGCUAUGGAGGAUGAGUGAGGGUGGGCAAGAGCCACACAACCGGCUAUGGAGGGGAAGAGAGCAAAUUAGGGGGGGAAAAGGGGAAAAGGAGGAGAGAUGGGGGAGAGAACGGGAGGGGGAGGUACCCGGUUUGAAAUUUUUUUUUUUUCCUUUUCAUUUGGAUGGCUAAGAUUUAUUCAUUUUCAUCCAAUGGCUGAAAAAAAAUGAAGGCAUGGUACUGAAGGAGAUAUUGUAGAAUUUUCCCAGAUUAAAAUAUCAUCCUUUUUAAUCUCCAAAACAUACCUGUCUCAAGCCUUAAUCCAAUUCUUCAUUUUUUUUCCUUUAUUUUUAAAAAUAGGACAAACCAAUCAGGGUGAAUGAUAGGUUGCUCACCAUUGCAUCAGCAGGCGUCGUACCAGUCACCAUUGCCAGCCUGGCCCUGACAAUGGUGAUAAGGGUUUGGAGAAGUGGAUGGAUGGGUAGAAAAGGAGGGUAUUAUGGGUAUUAGACUUAUAAAUUUUAUUUAUUUAAAAAAAAAUAGGUGGAUGGUUACAGAAUUUGUGUGGUCGCAAUUAAAACUAGGACCCACCAUCAUUUCAUUUUCUCCAUACCUUGGAGAAGGGUGCUGCCCUUAAUCUUAGAAAAUAAUUGCUCAUAUGAUAAAAUUUUUAUUUUGACCAAUUAAUUUAAUAAUAAAAAAAAUAUUUCAAGUUUUAUAAAAUUAUUUUUCCUACUAAACAAAGUUGAUGAAUGUAUAGAAAUGAGUAAGAUGUUUAUAAUCAAUUUUCAUAGAUUAUUCAAGGGGCCAAUUGCCAACUAAUUCUUCUAAAUGUAAGUAAAUUAUAUGUUUAUUUUCUACCCUUUUUUUCUCCCUUUAUUACUUUGUGGGUGGGUGGGUGGGUGGGUGAUCACUGGUUUGUAAACAAAGUCAGCACCUGGGGUCAACCAUCUUCUCCAAUAAUUCAUUCUAGCAUUGGAAUCCAUACUUGCUUUUGGCCAAACCAGAACUGAGCCAGCUUCGCUACCAAGAAAUUAUUGCAUUUUAUCAAUACAAACCAAUCUUUUCCACUUUGGUGGUUUGAUUUUGGAUCGCUUACCUUCAUUUUUCCUUGAUUCAUCACUCACUUUUCUCUACAAACCAACAGACAUGGCUGGGGCUUUAGUUGGGGGAGCUUUCCUCUCGGCUUCUCUUCAAGUUCUAUUUGACAGGUUGGCUUCUCGCGAGGUUGUGAGCUUCCUCCGGGGGCAGAAGCUCAGUGAUGCGCUCCUGAAGAAGUUGGAAAGGAAGUUGCUGGUCGUCCAUGCAGUGCUCAACGAUGCUGAGGUCAAACAAUUUACAGAUCCAUAUGUGAAGAAGUGGCUGGUCUUGCUUAAAGAGGUUGUGUAUGAUGCGGAGGACAUAUUGGAUGAGAUCGCCACAGAGGCUUUGCGACACAAGAUGGAAGCUGCGGAGUCCCAAACCAGCACAAGUCAGGUGGGUAACAUCAUGGACAUGUCUACCUGGGUUCAUGCCCCAUUUGACAGUCAGAGCAUAGAAAAGAGGGUGGAGGAGAUCAUUGAUAGACUUGAAGAUAUGGCACGAGACAGAGCCGUCCUUGGGUUGAAAGAAGGUGUUGGCGAGAAACUGUCACAAAGGUGGCCUUCUACUUCUUUGGUGGAUGAAUCUCUUGUCUAUGGCAGGGAUGAUGAAAAACAGAAGAUGAUUAAACAGGUGUUGUCUGAUAAUGCAAGGAGGGAUGAGAUAGGUGUGAUUUCCAUAGUGGGCAUGGGCGGCCUUGGCAAGACCACACUUGCUCAGCUUCUAUAUAAUGACCCAAGGGUGAUGGAACACUUCGAUUUGAAGGCAUGGGUUUGUGUUUCCGAAGAAUUUGAUCCUAUUAGAGUUACAAAAACAAUUCUGGAGGAGAUUACUUCAUCCGCUUUCGAGACAAAUAACCUAAAUCAGCUUCAAGUUAAACUGAAAGAGAGAAUUAAUACGAAGAAAUUUCUACUUGUCUUGGAUGAUGUUUGGAACGAGGACUCUAGUAACUGGGCUAUGCUACAAACUCCACUCAAAGGCGGGGCAAAGGGAAGCAAGAUUGUUGUAACGACCCGCAGCACCAAUGUUGCAGCAGUUAUGCGCGCUGUUUAUUCUCAAUGUCUUGGUGAACUAUCCUCUGAAGAUUCCUGGUCUCUGUUUAGAAAACUCGCAUUUGAAAAUGGAGACUCGAGUGCGUAUCCACAACUAGAAGCAAUUGGUAAGAAGAUUGUGGACAAGUGCCAAGGUUUGCCACUAACUGUAAAAACAGUGGGGGGCCUUUUACAUUCUGAGGUUGAAGCGAGGAAAUGGGAUGAUAUACUAAACUGCCAAAUAUGGGAUUUGUCCACUGAUACAGUUCUUCCUGCAUUAAGAUUGAGUUACAAUUAUCUGCCUUCACAUCUAAAGCAAUGUUUUGCCUAUUGCUCAAUUUUUCCCAAGGACUACGAAUUGGAGAAAGAGCAGCUAAUUUUGUUAUGGAUGGCUGAAGGUCUUUUACAAGAAUCCAAAGGCAAGAGAAGAAUGGAAGAGGUAGGUGACUUGUACUUUCACGAGCUUUCAUCGAAGUCAUUUUUUCAAAAUUCAGUUAGGAAAAAGGAGACACACUUUGUAAUGCAUGACCUUAUUCACGACUUAGCUCAACUAGUGUCUGGAGAAUUUUCUAUCAGUUUGGAGGAUGGUCGAGUAUGCCAAAUCUCAGAAAAGACUCGUCAUUUAUCAUAUUUUCCUAGAAAAUAUAAUACCUUUGAUAGAUAUGGAACACUUUCUGAAUUUAAGUGUUUGCGAACAUUUUUAUCAUUGGGGAUUUACAAGUUUGGCUAUAGGGUUGGCUACUUAAGUAAUAGAGUUCUACACAAUCUAUUAUCGGAAAUUAGGUGCUUGCAGGUGUUGUGUUUGCGUAACUAUAGGAUUGUUAAUCUGCCCCAUUCAAUUGGCAAGUUACAACAUUUGCGCUACUUGGAUCUCUAUAAUGCUUUGAUUGAAAAAUUGCCUACAUCAAUAUGUACUUUGUACAAUUUACAAACAUUGAUAUUGUCAUGUUGUUUGAAUCUGUAUGAAUUGCCUUCAAGAAUUGAAAAUUUGAUUAAUUUGCGUUAUCUUGACAUUCGUGAUACCCCACUAAGAGAAAUGCCAAGUCAUAUUGGCCAUUUAAAAUGUUUGCAAAACUUGAGUUAUUUCAUUGUGGGGCAAAAGAGCGGGUCGGGGAUUGGAGAAUUGAAGGAACUUUCAGAUAUAAAGGGAACACUUAGAAUUUCUAAGUUGCAGAAUGUGAAAUGUGGCAGGAAUGCAAGAGAAACCAAUUUGAAGGACAAGAUGUACAUGGAGAAGUUAGUGUUGGAUUGGGAAGCAGGUGAUAUUAUACAAGAUGGAGACAUAAUCGAUAAUCUUCGGCCUCAUACAAACCUAAAGAGACUAUCUAUUAAUCGUUUUGGUGGUUCGAGAUUUCCGACAUGGGUAGCAAAUCCUUUAUUCUCUAAUCUCCAGACCCUAGAGCUUUGGGAUUGUAAAAAUUGCUUAUCAUUGCCACCACUUGGGCAGCUACCCUCUCUUGAACACUUACGGAUCUCAGGAAUGAAUGGAAUAGAGAGGGUGGGCAGUGAGUUUUAUCAUUAUGGGAAUGCUUCUUCCUCCAUUGCAGUUAAGCCUUCCUUCCCAUCCUUACAAACUCUAACAUUUCAGUGGAUGGGCAAUUGGGAGAAAUGGUUAUGUUGUGGAUGCAGACGUGGAGAAUUCCCUCGUCUCCAGGAGCUUUGUAUGUGGUGUUGUCCUAAACUCACUGGCAAAUUACCAAAACAGCUUCGAUCCUUGAAGAAACUUGAAAUUGGUGGAUGUCCGCAGCUGCUUGUGGCUUCACUUAGAGUUCCUGCAAUCAGUGAAUUGACGAUGGUCGAUUGUGGUAAAUUGCAUUUGAAAAGGCCAUCUAGUGGCUUCACUGCUCUUCAAACCUCACACGUUAAAAUUUCAAACAUCUCUCAGUGGAAGCAACUACCAGUGGGAGUGCAUAGCCUCUCAAUUAGAGAAUGUGAUUCAGUGGAGACUCUAAUAGAAGAGGAACCGCUCUAGAGCAAAAGUUGUCUUCUCAAAUAUUUGGAAAUCACAUAUUAUUGUUUGUCUAGAUCCUUGCGCAGAGUUGGUUUACCUACUAAUGCAUUGGAAUCACUAGAAAUCUCUCACUGUUCCAAGCUAGAGUUUCUCCUACCUGUGUUGUUGAGAUGCCACCACCCUUUCCCCGAAAAUAUACACAUCAGAGAUAACACCAGUGAUUCUCUUUCAUUAUCCUUCUCCUUAAGCAUCUUCCCAAGACUGCGGUUUUUUGAAAUCAGUAAGCUUCAGGGGUUUGAAUUCCUCUAUAUCUCCAUUUCAGAGGGGGAUCCCACAUCUCUUAAUUAUUUGAAUAUCUCACGGUGCCUUGAUGUUGUAUAUAUUGAAUUGCCAGCUCUCGACUCAGCACGGUAUAAGAUCUCCAGCUGCUUGAAGCUCAAGUUAUUGAAGCACACCCUCUCAACUUUGGGGUGUUUGAGUUUAUUUCAGAGUCCAGAAUUGUUGUUUCAGAGAGAUGGUUUGCCCUCCAAUCUACGUGAACUUGAAAUUUCAUCCUGCAACCAACUCACAUCUCAGGUGGACUGGGGUUUGCAAAGACUAGCCUCUCUUACAAAGUUCACAAUCAAUGGUGGAUGCCAAGACAUGGAAUCCUUUCCCGGUGAGUGCCUAUUGCCCUCCACAAUUACCACUCUCAGAAUUGAACGACUUCCAAACCUCAGGUCUCUGGACAGUAAGGGGCUUCAACAACUUACCUCUCUCUCAAACUUGUACAUUGGCGACUGCCCUGAGUUUCAAUCCUUUGGAGAAGAGGGGCUUCAACAUCUCACCUCCCUCAUAACAUUAUCCAUUAGCAAUUGUUCUAAGUUCCAAUCCUUUGGAGAAGAGGGGCUUCAACAUCUCACCUCCCUCGUAACAUUAUCCAUUAGCAAUUUUUCUGAGCUCCAAUCCUUUGGAGAAGAGGGGCUUCAACAUCUCACCUCCCUCAAAACAUUAUCCAUUAGCUGCUGCCCUGAGCUCAAAUCUUUAACAGAAGCAGGUCUUCAACACCUUAGCUCACUUGAAAAUUUGCAGAUCUCCGACUGCCCAAAGCUCCAAUACCUGACGAAAGAGAGACUGCCAAACUCCCUCUCUUUUCUGGAUGUUUACAAAUGCUCUUUGCUGGAAGGUCGCUGCCAAUUUGGGAAAGGCCAAGAUUGGCAGUAUGUAGCUCACAUUCCACACAUAAUCAUCAACAAUGUGUUAUACUGAUGAAGAUGGAAAUAUAUCAAUGUCAAUCAGGUACUUGUUCCACACUCAAAAUAACUUCCUUCAAAAUAAACAUAUUAUUAAGUUUAUGCUUCAAAAUUUCUUAUCAUCUCUGUUGUGCUUCCUUGCUUUCUGUAAGGUUUGGUUGAUUUGGCUAUGAUCAUAAAGGCAUGGUGCCAAGCAGCUCUCAGGGUAUUCUAAGUGACUUGGUCUUCUUGAGCCUCAAUCAUGAUUUAUGGUUAGUGAAAUAUUUUAAUUGCUUUGAUCCUUUGUCAUGAUCUAUUAUGGAUUUGUACUUGUAGAGACUUCAUUUUCGACUUCCCGAUGGUCCAACAGUGGAGACCUCACAAGUUUUUCUUAAUCAUGACUGCAUCAUUUUGUAGGUUCUCGUUCCAAUAGUUAAAGCAUUUGUGCAGUGAUGUAUAUCAUGCUCUAUGUCAAUUGAUAAUAAAAUUGUUAUAAGGGAUCUUCCAGAUUGAAGGUGGAGUGAGGAAGAUGUCAUUUUAGUGUCUCGGUUCAUUGUUCUUAUUGAACGCAGAGCACCUUAAUGGUACUGCAUACUCAAAUUUUACUGAGAUUGCUCUGUUUUGGUUGGGCAGUCUGCACUUACUGGAGACAGUAUUCACUAUGGUUCUACUUGCAAGCAGGGAGAGAUCACCUGAAUGAUAGUUGAUACCACACCACCAAUUAGCCACUGUCAAAAGGCAAGGAUAUGGGAAUGCAUCUUCUUUGUUAUGUACUUAGCAGGACUUAUUUCUUUUCUUUGUUUUUUUUUUUUUUUUUUUUGCCUAAUUUUGAUCUCAUACAGUUCUUGUUUGGUGUUUCUUAGGUCUUGGCUAUGAUCAGAAAUUUCCAUGUACACUAUGUAGCACACCCCACUUUUCAGGACCAGGAGGUCCAUUUAGGCUCUCAUUGUUCAUCUCAGGAGAGUCAGAUGUUUGUUUGAAAAGAAAAAUACCAAAGUUCAGGUGAAGGCCUAUACAUUUGAGAUUCCCAUGAAGAAUGUUGUAAUUCAAUUUAUUCGAUUUUGAGGGCUUUUGUAAUUCUGUUUGCCAUUGUGGUGUUGGUAACAUUUGAAGAGGGUGGUAGACCAUAACUCCCUCAUUCAAGCUUCCAAACUUUGUAUAGGAAAGAUGAUGUUGUGUUGACCUUACUCACUUCUUCACUUCUUCAUGCAAUGAAAAUUUACUUCUCUUCUAUAUAUGCUCACAGUCUGCUCAAGUUUUUACUUGCAUUAAAGAUGCUAGCGCUACUCGGUCACCUUAUUGAUCCCCACAUCAACCAUUAGGCCAUUUUCAAUAGGCAAGGAGAUAGGAAUAUAGCACCUUCUCUUGUUUAGGUCAAAAUAUAAUGUCUGCAGUAUGCUUGAUCAUGUUUAUAAAUUGACAUGAUAGCCCAAAAGAGUAUUUGAUAUAUCUUUUAUGAUGUAGCCUAGUAUAUUUGUACCUAUCUAAGUAGUUCGAUGUAUAUAUUCAAAGGAUUUAGAACGUAUGAAGCAAAUAAUUGAAAAAAUUAAGUUAUAAGGAUAAUUAUUGGAAAGUGUCUCAAAUUCUUUUCCGAGUCAAUUUAUAAGUCAUUGAUGUUUUUGCAUUAGGACAUAUUCAUGGAAUAGACUUUCUUAUUAUUAUAAAGGUUGAAAUAUCCUAUUGUUAGAUUUUCUUUUAAGCUAUAUUUAUUUCUCUAAAAAUUUGAAGGAAAAUGUUUAGGAAAGAAAAUAGAGAUGAAAAGUAGAAAAAAAGAAAAAGUGCAAAAAAUUAAAAAUAUGAUUUAAAGUCAAUAAAUUAUUUUUAUAUAUUUUUUCAAAUUCAUUUAACUUAUUUUUUUCUAUUAUAUAAAGAUUAAAUAAUUAAGAAAUGUAUAAAUUUCAAAGUAAAUUUAAUUAUGUUUUACUUUCUUUCAUAUUUUCUAUGAUGAAAUUAAAAUGAGAAAAUCAUUUUUCUCAACAUGACCUAAUAGUUCUUCAUGGUUGAACUUACAUAAGAGAUAAUUUUUAAUAAAAAACUUUAUCACUUUCAACUAAGUAUUUGAAUACCAAAACUUCUUAUAGAAAUGGUUAAAAUUAUGCAUUAACCAACCUACAAUAGUCAUCUAAGAGAGGUGAAUAUAGUGUUAAUCUCUUUUCACACACUAUACAAAAAUGAAUACAAGAGAUAAUUUAAGCAAUAAUAUAAAAUAAAUAGAAAAGGGACAAAAAGAAUUUAAACUUAAGAUUUUUAUAGUGGUUCGGUGUAAUCCUACUUAUAUCCAACUUAUAUCCACUCUCCUCAAUUUUUAAUCACGAUAAAUGUUCCAUUAAUCUAAGACUUUUUAAAGCUCAAGUCUUUAAACUCUUUAUACUUGGAUUAUGGUUCUAAGAUACCUUGUUAUAACAAAACUUUUAAAGACAAAUUCUCCAAACUUUUUCUUUUAAAUUAUGAUUCCAAAGUACCCUUUCAAGCGAUACCUUGCUCUUAAGCUGUCUAAGUGAUUCCACACUAGUUAAUCCUCAUAAGAUCUGCAAUUGAAAGAAGAUUAAUCCUUGUGUACUAUUUUGACUCAAAUAAAUACAAAGGAAACUAGGAUUGAAGUGCAUCAUAGUGGAUAAGUAAGAUUAUGAAUCAAGGUGCACUCUAAAACACUUGGCGAUUGAUGGAUGAUAAUCAAUAUUAGGUUCUUGGAGAGUCAACAUUAUGCUUUUAAGAAGAUAUUAAUAUCUAUAUUUUUAUAGUAUGUAUUAACAUAGCAUAUUUUUUGUAUAAAAAAACAUAUAGUUUAUGAUUUUAUUGUAAUACUAGCAUUCAUAUUUUACUAAAAAAAUGAUUUAUUUUUUAAUUUAUUUGUGAUUCUAAAUACUGUUUAUAAAAAAUUCAAGUGUCAACAAAUUUUUACUAUUUCAAGUUUUAAAAUGUUUAAAAGUGAUAUUUAGAUACAUAAUAUAAAUCUAUAUUUUCCGUACAAGAGGUUCUAGCUUUUAUAUAGAAUUUAUUACUUAUUUCUAUUUUUAAAAGCAAAAAAAAAUCUUAAAGAAUAUUUUUAACUUAAGCACUAUUAAUAAAAGUGGUACGAACCAAAAUACUUUAAUUUGAAUUACUCUCAACUUCUUAAUUUAUGUAAAUUAUAAGGGAAAAAACUAAAGAACUAAAUAGAUACAUACCAUACAUCCAAUCUAAGAGGUUAACAAUAUAAUGUGUUGAAAAAGUACAUGUCUGUGUUGGAGUGCUUAUGCAUAAAAUUGUAAUUCUCAUGUUAGAAAAAAGAUUCAAACUUUAUGCACUUUAUAUUGUGUGUCCAUAGGGCCCAAGCCCCUGUAUCCAAAUGAAAAUUCGGGUUUUUUUUUUUUUUUUUUUUUUUAACUUCUAAAGCUACUUUGAGAAAAAAAAUUUAAAAGAUGGUAGUUACAAAACUAUUGACAAAUCGUUGACACUUUUUGCCACAUCGAAGGUGUCUUUUCAAAAGACAUUUUCUAUAAUUUUCAUAUGAAUGACACACGAUAAAAAAAAUUAAAUUUACAUUGAAGAUGUCUCUUCAAGAAACACUUUCCAUAAUUUUAUAAAAUUAAAUUUAUAUUUAAAAAACACAUUUUUACAAUUUUUUUUAAUCAGUCAUAUAUAUUAAAAAAAUUGAAUAUAUAUUAAAAGUGUAUUUUAAAGAGACAUCUUCCACAAUUUCAUAAAAUCGAAUUCAUACUAAAAAUGUCUCUUCAAGAAACACUUUUUCACAAUUUUUUUUUUUUUUUUUGUUUAUCAAUUAUACAUAUUAAAAAAUUUUUGAAUUUUUACUCUCAUAAUUCCACAAAAUCAAAUUUAUACUAAAGAUGUCUCUUCCAAAAUUUCAUAUUAGUCACAUAGUGAAGAAAAAGAAUUUAUACUAAAUGACUUUUUAGGUGACACAUUCCACAAUUCGACAAAACUGAAUUUAUAAUUAAGAUGUCUUUCGAAAAGACAUCUUCCAUGAUUUUCAUACCGGCCGGUCACACAAUAAAGAAAAUUGGAUUUAUACUAAAGGUGUUUCUUCAAGAGAUUAAAAUUUGAAAUUUUUGGAUCUGCAAAGAAAAUUUUAGGAAUGGGGAUCCAAAGGGACCAAAGAAAUGGAACUUGGUUUCUAUGCCAACAAAGUUAUAAUCAAAAGGUUUUGGAGAGGUUAAUUGAUGUCAAAUAAGUCAUAAUCAAAAGGUUUUGGAGAGGUUAAUUAAGGUGAUCAAACUGUGAAGGCUAGUUCUCUGUCCCUAGUAGACAGCAGCAAAGACAUAUACUUAAGCUAAUCUACUUCAUGGAACAUUUUAAUUACUCCACUUCUUUUUCAUGACCUUUCAUUGACUUAGACUAGUUCAUCUCUUGCAGCCAAUGCCUAUCUCCUUAUAGUUGUCAAAAUCAACUUGGACUAGUUCAUCUCUUGCAGCCAAUGCUUUUCUCCACUUGCAUGCACAUUAAAUUAGAGACGACUUAAUUCCCAGGUCUGCUGAAGAUAAGCAACUUGCCUUCCCUCAAUUAUUAGGCCGACCUACCUUCAUCCACCACCCCCACUUUCCAUUUAUAUGCCCUUACUUUCACAUUCUUACCCCAUAAGAUUAAGAUUAAGAUUAAGAGCAUGUGGCCUGGUAAACAAUGGUAAGGUACAGGGUCUACCAUGAAAAUUUGGAAUUCAAAGUUCCUUUUUGGCUGCAUCCAGAAGGAAAGGGAGGGAGAAUUAUGCUUUAGGAGUCUAUUUGUUGAUAAUGGGUUAAAAGUCCUUAAUUACUUGUAUAAUUGAUAAGAAUGAUGUAAAAUAUGGAGAGACCAAAAUACCCAUUAAAGUAGUCAUCUUAGUUAACAUAUAAAACGGAAAGUGAUUGUAGGAAAAAUUUGUUGUCUGUUGUACCAAAAUUAGAUUUUUGACCAUUGGAUUUACAUAUUUAAUCAUGACUAUUGAUUUGAAUUGGAAAACACUUGCUACCGGUUUCUUAUUGGAGGAUCUAAUUUUAAAGGAUACAAAUUUAGUAAUAAUUAAGUAAUGGCAUUUUAUAUUAUUAAAAUAUAUAAUUUAUAAGAAAUAAAAAUAAUGUAUUAUCUAAUUUUAUCUUCCUUUUUAUUUUUAUAUCAAUAUUAUUUAAAAAUAUAUAAUAAUAAGGGAGAAUUGUGUUUUGAGGUGAGUUCAGACUGGUAAUUGAUCCAAGAUCCUUGUAUCACCCAUAUUUGAACUCAAAACCUAAUGAUGGAGUAGAAACUGAGGAGAAGUAUGUUACUUUUCAAAAAUACCCUUGAUUGUCAAAUUAAAAAAUUAACUUGCUACUCUCACCUCUCUCUCACUCUCUUUCUCUCUCUUUAUUUAGCUCCCCUAUUUUUAAAAAAUUUUAGAACUUUUUUAUUUCAUAUUUAACCUAUUUAUAAAUAAAGAUUCUUCUUGUUAAAUAAUUUUAUUGCAAAAUUUAUCUUUUAAAAUUAAAUUUAAAUAAUUUUAUAGUGAAAUUUAUCUUUUUAAAUUAAAUUUUUAUCCUUAUUUAUUUCAUGUAGUAAACAAAUAUUUUAAAUAAAAAAAUCUACUUCAAUUUAUUUAUGAGAAUUACAUUAAAUCAAAAUGCAUUUUUAAUUGAUGGAUAUUGAAAUUCAUUUUUCUUAAAUUUUAUUUAUUUAAUAUAAUAAAUUUAGAAUUCAAAAUAAAACCAACUUCCUUAAUUCAUAAGAAAUAAUUUUUUAUUAAAUGGUUGAUAAAAAAUUAAAAACUAUUAUUAUAUAUUUUUAUAACCUUUGGUUUCGAUCAUCCUUUGCCUUGGAAAAUUAGUUAUUUGUAAAAAAAGAUAAAAUAAUAACUUAUUUUAUUAGAAAGAAAUUUUAUAAUUCAUUUUUAUAACAGUAAAAAAGAUUUUCUUAAUUAUUUCUGAAUCCAACCAACAACUCUUUUGAGAUUCUCUAGAUUUUAAGAAUUUUGAUACAUUCAACUAUUAGAAAAAGAAUUUCAAAAUUUUUAUAAAAAUAUAUUUUUUAAAUUUAGGUAAAUAAAUUAUAAAUUAAGAAAGAUAUAAUCAAUAAUUUAAAUUCUUUAAUGAUUUAAAAAGAUAUUAAUAAUAGUUUUGAAUUCAAAAAAUUGAUAUAAUUAAUUUUUAUUAAAUCAAAAUAUUUUAGAAUAUUAUAUUAGUAAUUCGUUACUAAAUGCAUAUUGCAAAUGAAAAACUUUACUUAUUUACAUGCAUGUUAAAAAAGUUGAACUUUAUUCAUUAUUCAUUCUAAAUAAAAUAUUAUUAAAAAUUAUUAUUCUUUAUUUUUAAGCAAGACAAUUAAGAAGAUGUUAAUAUUCUUAUAUUUCUAACAUAGACUAAAAUAAUAAUUUUUUUUAUAAACAAUAUAAUUUAUGAUUUUAUUAUAAUUUAUUUGUAAUUAUAAACUAUUUUCAUUUUAAAAUUUGAAUUAAAUUAAAUUUAAUCUAUAUUAUAUAAAUUGAAUUUGCAAUGUUUUUACAAAACCAAAACAAAAAACAUAUUUUUAAAAAUAACUUAUUCAAACAAGUUUUUCAUUUUUCAUUUUUAAAAACUUGUCAAAGUUAUUUUAUAAAACAUUAGGGGUUUGACUGACAACUAUUUUUAAGAAUAGUAUUCUGUUUUCCAAAACAAAACAAAAAAAAAAUCAAAAAAAUAUAUAUUUUGACUACCAAAAAACUAUUUUUUUGUUUUUAGAGAAUGUCUUUUAGUUGUUUUCACUUAUUUUAUAAAAUAUGUGUCAUGAUUAAAAAUAAAGCAUUAAAUAUAAAAAUGAUUUUUAAAACACAUUUAAAAAAUGUCAAGUUCCUAAAAAAACUUUUGUUCUACAAAACAUUAUAGAACAGUUUGCAAAAACUGUUUUUAAAAAUUAUUUUUUAGAACUAUUUUAAAAAAUUACUAAAUAUGAUCUAAAAAACAAUGGUUUUUUCUUUAUCUUCAAAAUGAUUUUUAGAAACCAAUUUAAGACAACAUGGUAAAACAAAUAUAUGUUUCCCAAACAAAAAAGUUGAUGAAGUAAUUGAUAAAUGGGAAAUUUGAAAAUCUUUCAAGCAAUUUUUCUUUUUCCAUAGGAUCAAAGUAGAAACUCUUCCCUUAUCAGAACUUGGAUCACACAAGUUGAUGGAAAAUGAACCUUGAACUUUAUAAAAAAAUAAUUAUUUAAACUUGAGAAAUAAAUUAAAAGACCUUUAUAAAAUAAUUACACCAUAUACAAUAUACAUUUUUCUAGUUGUCUGCCAAAUAAAUUAAACAUUCUUAAUUUAUUUUAUUUUUUGAAAUAUUUAUGAAUUUUCAUAAAUUAUUCAAGGGGCCAAUUGCCAACUAAUUCUUCUAAAUGUAAGUAAAUUAUAUGUUUAUUUUCUACCCUUUUUUUCUCCCUCUAUUACUUUGUGGGUGGGUGGGUGGGUGGUCACUGGUUUGUAAACGAAGUCAGCACCUGGGGUCAACCAUCUUCUCCAAUAAUUCAUUCUAGCAUUGGAAUCCAUACUUGCUUUUGGCCAAACCAGAACUGAGCCAGCUUCGCUACCAAGAAAUUAUUGCAUUUUCUCAAUACAAACCAAUCUUUUCCACUUUGGUGGUUUGAUUCAUCACUCACUUUUCUCUACAAACCAACAGACAUGGCUGGGGCUUUAGUUGGAGGUGCUUUCCUCUCGGCUUCUCUUCAAGUUCUAUUUGACAGGUUGGCUUCUCGCGAGGUUGUGAGCUUCAUCCGGGGGCAGAAGCUCAGUGAUGCGCUCCUGAAGAAGUUGGAAAGGAAGUUGCUGGUCGUCCAUGCAGUGCUCAACGAUGCUGAGGUCAAACAAUUUACAGAUCCAUAUGUGAAGAAGUGGCUGGUCUUGCUUAAAGAGGCUGUGUAUGAUGCGGAGGACAUAUUGGAUGAGAUCGCCACAGAGGCUUUGCGACACAAGAUGGAAGCUGCGGAGUCCCAAACCAGCACAAGUCAGGUGGGUAACAUCAUGGACAUGUCUACCUGAGUUCAUGCCCCAUUUGACAGUCAGAGCAUAGAAAAGAGGGUGGAGGAGAUCAUUGAUAGACUUGAAGAUAUGGCACGAGACAGAGCCGCCCUUGGGUUGAAAGAAGGUGUUGGCGAGAAACUGUCACAAAGGUGGCCUUCUACUUCUUUGGUGGAUGAAUCUCUUGUCUAUGGCAGGGAUGAUGAAAAACAGAAGAUGAUUGAACAGGUGUUGUCUGAUAAUGCAAGGAGGGAUGAGAUAGGUGUGAUUUCCAUAGUGGGCAUGGGCGGCCUUGGCAAGACCACACUUGCUCAGCUUCUAUAUAAUGACCCAAGGGUGAUGGGACACUUCGAUUUGAAGGCAUGGGUUUGUGUUUCCGAAGAAUUUGAUCCUAUUAGAGUUACAAAAACAAUUCUGGAGGAGAUUACUUCAUCCGCUUUCGAGACAAAUAACCUAAAUCAGCUUCAAGUUAAACUGAAAGAGAGAAUUAAUACGAAGAAAUUUCUACUUGUCUUGGAUGAUGUUUGGAACGAGGACUCCAGUAACUGGGCUAUGCUACAAACUCCACUCAAAGGCGGGGCAAAGGGAAGCAAGAUUGUUGUAACGACCCGCAGCACCAAUGUUGCAGCAGUUAUGCGCGCUGUUUAUUCUCAUUGUCUUGGUGAACUAUCCUCUGAAGAUUCCUGGUCUCUGUUUAGAAAACUCGCAUUUGAAAAUGGAGACUCGAGUGCAUAUCCACAACUAGAAGCAAUUGGUAAGAAGAUUGUGGACAAGUGCCAAGGUUUGCCACUAGCUGUAAAAGCAGUGGGGGGCCUUUUACAUUCUGAGGUUGAAGCGAGGAAAUGGGAUGACAUACUAAACUGCCAAAUAUGGGAUUUGUCCACUGAUACAGUUCUUCCUGCAUUGAGAUUGAGUUACAAUUAUCUGCCUUCACAUCUAAAGCAAUGUUUUGCCUAUUGCUCAAUUUUUCCCAAGGACUACGUAUUGGAGAAAGAGAAGCUAAUUUUGUUAUGGAUGGCUGAGGGUCUUUUACAAGAAUCAAAAGGCAAGAGAAGAAUGGAAGAGGUAGGUGACUUGUACUUUCACCAGCUUUUAUCGAAGUCAUUUUUUCAAAAUUCAGUUAGGAAAAAGGAGACACACUUUAUAAUGCAUGACCUUAUUCAUGACUUGGCUCAACUGGUGUCUGGAGAAUUUUCUGUCAGUUUGGAGGAUGGUCGGGUAUGCCAAAUCUCAGAAAAGACUCGUCAUUUAUCAUAUUUUCCGAGAGAAUAUAAUACCUUUGAUAGAUAUGGAACACUUUCUGAAUUUAAGUGUUUGCGAACAUUUUUACCAUUGAGGGUUUACAUGUUUGGCUACUUAAGUAAUAGAGUUCUACACAAUCUAUUAUCGGAAAUUAGGUGCUUGCGGGUGUUGUGUUUGCAUGGCUAUGGUAUUGUUAAUUUGCCCCAUUCAAUUGGCAAGUUACAACAUUUGCGUUACUUGGAUCUCUCUAAUACUUUGAUUGAAAAAUUGUCUACAUCAAUAUGUACUUUGUACAAUUUACAAACAUUGAUAUUGUCAAGGUGUUCGAAAUUGUAUGAAUUGCCUUCAAGAAUUGAAAAUUUGAUUAAUUUGCGUUAUCUUGACAUUGAUGAUACCCCAUUAAGAGAGAUGCCAAGUCAUAUUGGCCAUUUAAAAUGUUUGCAAAACUUGAGUUAUUUCAUUGUGGGGCAAAAGAGCGGGUCGGGGAUUGGAGAAUUGAAGGGACUUUCAGAUAUAAAGGGAACACUUAGAAUUUCAAAGUUGCAGAAUGUGAAAUGUGGCAGGGAUGCAAGAGAAGCCAAUUUGAAGGACAAGAUGUACAUGGAGGAGUUAGUGUUGGAUUGGGAUUGGAGAGCAGGUGAUAUUAUACAAGAUGGAGACAUAAUUGAUAAUCUUCGGCCACAUACAAACCUAAAGAGACUCUCUAUUAAUUGUUUUGGUGGUUCGAGAUUUCCGACAUGGGUAGCAAGUCCUUUAUUCUCUAAUCUCCAGACCCUAGAGCUUUGGGAUUGUGAAAAUUGUUUAUCAUUGCCACCACUUGGGCAGCUACCCUCUCUUGAACAGUUACGGAUCUCAGGAAUGAAUGGAAUAGAGAGGGUGGGCAGUGAGUUUUAUCAUUAUGGGAAUGCUUCUUCCUCCAUUGCAGUUAAGCCUUCCUUCCCAUCCUUACAAACUCUAAGAUUUGGGUGGAUGGGCAAUUGGGAGAAAUGGUUAUGUUGUGGAUGCAGACGUGGAGAAUUCCCUCGUCUCCAGGAGCUUUAUAUAAUCAACUGUCCAAAACUCACUGGGAAAUUACCAAAACAGCUUCGAUCCUUGAAGAAACUUGAAAUUGUUGGAUGUCCGCAGCUGCUUGUGGCUUCACUCAGAGUUCCUGCAAUCAGUGAAUUGAAUAUGGCCGAUUGUGGUAAAUUACAGUUGAAAAGGCCAGCUAGUGGCUUCACUGCUCUUCAAUUCUCACGCGUUGAAAUUUCAAACAUCUCUCAGUGGAAGCAACUACCAGUGGGAGUGCAUAGCCUCUCAAUUACAGAAUGUGAUUCUGUGGAGACUCUAAUAGAAGAGGAACCGCUCCAGAGCAAAACUCCUCUUCUCAAAAAAUUGGAAAUCACAUAUUGUUGUUUGUCUAGAUCCUUGCGCAGAGUUGGUUUACCCACUAAUGCAUUGCAAUCACUAGAAAUCUCUCACUGUUCCAAGCUAGAGUUUCUCCUACCUGUGUUGUUGAGAUGCCACCACCCUUUCCUAAAAAAUAUACACAUUAGAGAUAACAC
rnacentral:lncRNA from 1 species